rnacentral:lncRNA from 1 species
UAAAUAAAAGAGGAAAAUAUAUGCUCACCAUACAGUAAUAAAAUGAUGUAUUUUCCUCUGUAUUUUAAUAUUUUAAAAUAAAUAUUAUCAUGCUAAAAUACUUUUGUAAAGGAUUUUGAAGUUAAAGACAAAAUGGACAUUUCAACCACAUUUAUGAUAAUUAAAUAUAGGGAUAUUAAGAGUAUAUUUGAAAGAUAGUAAGUAUUUGUAGGGAUAUUAAUUUGUGAUAUAAUUAAAUUUAUAGUGGUAUCUAUGAUAUUUUUGAAGUUUAGAGAGGCACGAAUGAAAUUGACCCAAAAUAAUAUUUGCCAUCUUGAGAACAAGAGACAUUCUGGUAUAAGUUAGAACAAUAAUAAAUUUGUAUUUGGAUGUAUUUCGAGGGUAAAACUGUACGUAGACCCCAACACUUUGAAGAGAUCUGUUAAUUUGAGACUUAAAAAAAUAGAUAAAUAAUUUAAAUUAAAAAAUCUUUUAUAUUUUUAAUACUCUCAAAAUUGAUAGUUUAUUGAUUUUUUUUUUUUUCAAUUUAUAUACUUUGUUGCAUAACUUAUAACUAACUUAAUCUGCAAACUUAUUUUUGCUAAGCUUUAUAAUUGAAUUCAACAGUAAUUCUAAAUAGCUGGAUCCAUUUAACGCAAUUAUGGCAAAGUGCAGUACUAAUUAAUUAUUAUCUUUUUACGUAGAGUGUUCACGAGAUAUGAGAUAAAAUACAAAGGAUCUUUUUGUUAAAAUAAGUCUUUAUUUCACUGUAAUGCCCUAUUUAGAUACAUAAUAAAAAAGUUCCAUGGAGUUUAUAUUCUGUAAUUUUGGUUUGAAUGAAACAGAAAAUUCGGUAACUAUAAAAAAUUUUCAUAGCUUUGAUUUUAAACUGUUUGGAUACAUAUCAUAUAAUUUCAGAAAAACUCUAACAAUUAAAAUUUUAUGUAAAUUUAAAAUUUAAAAUUUAAAGUUUAAAAUUUAAAAAUUAACUAUUUUUGAUGACUCGUUUCCAGUUUGGAACUUUGUGUGUAUAGUGAAUUUGAUGGCUUUAUUUGCACAAUAAGAAAAUUGAAUUUGAUUUGAAUUUAGAAUAUACUAUUUUGAUUUGAAGUUAAAUAAUAUAAAAUAAUUGUUUUUCUUCAAAAUCUUCAACUACCAUAUAUUAGGAUUUUUAAUAUUAAUAUUCAACAAUCUCAAUUACCUAUUUGCACAAAAAAAAAAAAUUCCUUUAUCUCAUAAAGGCCGGCGCUGGCUACAGCGACAGAGGAGGAGGAGAGCGAGGGGCUCUUUGUUUAGAGUUUCAGUAGAUUAAGUAAGGGAAGAAGGGGAGAUGGUGAUCAAUUUUUCUUUUUUCUUUUUCUGUUUGUAUUUAGGUCGAAUAGGGUGGAUGGAAUGAGUUGAAUAGAGUAACAUUUUAUUUUUGGUUAGAGUGGACUUUAUAUUUAGGCCUUUGUAGUUUUUUUAAAAAAAUUUUGUAUAAAUGGAACACUUACAUAAAAAUAUCCAAAAAAUAUGUUUAUAUAACUAAUUCUAUUUUAGUGGCAAAGAAAAAAUUAGAAUAAUUAUUAAAGCUAAUUUUAAAUUGAAUAAAGGAAAUAAUAGAAUACAUAAGGGUGUAUUUGGUUCCGAAUAAAAUCAUCCUGUAACGAUCCAGCCCACUAGCAACAAUAACUCGUUGGGCCCAACAACCGGCCAAAAUGCUUAAGCUCAGUUACCGUUAAGGCCCUGACGUCCUCGUCAGUCCAAUCACACACACACAGUCCAAGAUCACCAAGCGAUGUGAGACUCGUCUCGCUAGCCCGUCAUCCAGACCCUGGCUCAGCCGAGACUCGCCACACAUGUCCAGCUGGUGAACCGGCUCUGAUACCAAAUGUAACGACCCAGCCCACUAGCAACAAUAACUCGUUGGGCCCAACAACCGGCCCAAAAUGCUUAAGCCCAGUUAUUAUUACUAGUGUCUAAGUCUCUUAUAAACCCAAUGACAACCCCAUUUCCAUCCGAUGUGGGAUUAUUGGGGUGUCACACACCCCGAAAUUUUUUUCAUUUGAAAAGUCAAAUUCCCGUGUUUCAUUACUCGUAAAAAUAUUUUCUCGAAUUCUUUUUUACAUAUUAUAAAGAGAAUGAGGGUUUUUGUUUCCCCUUGCUUUGAGAGGAAACACGCGGCGUUGAGCAUGCGCAACAAAAGCACACAGUUCACGAGGUCUGCUCCACCUAGUGGACCGUGUGAGAAAGGUUCACGGUGGACUUAUUUCUCUCAUUUAUAUAUACUAGUUGAGUGUACGUACAAAUGCACAUAUAUAAUAAUUAUUUUAAUAUAUUUUUAAAUCAAUAAAAAAUUUAUAAAUCAUAUUUAUUCAACAUUUAAAAUAAAAUAUUCUGUAAAUUUAUAUAUUAUAUUUUAUUAGAAAAUAUCUACAAUAUCCUAUAUUAUUCUUUUCUUUAUAUACAUUAAAUAUUUUUAUAUAUUUUUGGAUAUCUAAUAAAUCUAAAAUUUAAGUAAGUGUUUUAAACUAAAAGUAUAAAAAUUUAAUUGACAUUUCUUUCAAAAUUUAAAAUUUAAUUUUGAUCCAUUAUAUAAUUAAAUUUUUUAAUUGUUAAUUCAAGUUUGAUAUCAAAAAUCAAAAGUAAAUUUAAUUCACAAUUUAAACUCAAAUUUAAAUUUUAAUGUAAAAUAGAUGGAUAGAUUUAAUAUCAAAAAUUAAAAAUUUAAUUUAAUUUACGAUUUAAACUCAAAUUUAAAUUUUAAUAUAAAAUAGAAGAAUAAAAGUGCUAUUUUUUAAUAGAUUGAUCAUAACUGUUCAUUUUUAUUUCAAAUAUUUUUUAUUAAUUGAUCAUAACCAUUCAUAGAAUUGAAUUUAUAGAUUGGUAUAAAUAUUUUUUUAAAAAAAAUUGAUCAUAACCGUUUCGUUCUUAUUUGAGAUAACUUUUUACAAAUUGAUUAUAAAUUUGUACACCAUAUUAUUCCAAAAAUAUGAUUUACAAAUUUAUUAACCAAUCUAUCUUUUAAACUAUUUCCAUUGUAAUAUGUUGAUAGUUUCAAAAUUUAAAAUUUUAAAUAAUUUUAAAUUUUGAGUUGAAAUAUAGAUUUAUAAUAGAUAUUCUGGCAAAAAUUUGGAUAAGCAUGAAUUUUUUUCUAUUCUAGAGAUAAAAAAAUUUAAUAAACUUUGAAUUAAAAUAUAAAUUUACAAUAGAUAUCUUUCGGUUGGCAAAAAUUUGGAUAAAUAUUUUUGUUUCUAUUUUGGAGAUAAAGAGAAAUUAAAUGUUUGUUUCAUUACUUUAUUUAUUUUACGUGAGGAAAGAAGAAUCAUUUUUUUUUUCCGCCAAAAAAUUGGUAUGUCGAUAAACCGAAAUUUGAAAUACGUGCUUUUAUAUAUAGUGUAGAUAGAUAAAUAUAGAAAUAGAUAUAGAUUUUAUCAAUUAUAUAAUUAAAUUUUUUUAAUUGUUAAUUCAAUUUUGAUAUCAAAAAUCAAACAUUAAAUUUAAUUCACGAUUUAAACUCAAAUUUAAUUUUUAAUGUGAAUAGAUCGAUAAAAGAGCUAUUUUUUAACAGAUUAAUCAUAACCAUUCAUUUUUAUUUCAAAUAUUUUUAAUUUAUUGAUGAGUUUAAAUUUUUUUUUAACAAAUUGAUCAUAAAUUUGUACAUCAUAUUGAUUCAAAAAUAUGAUUUACAAAUUUAUUAAUCAAUCUAUCUUUUAAGUUAUUCCAUUGCAAUAUGUACAUAGUUCCAAAAUUUAAUAUUUUAAAUUAAUUUUAAAUUUUGAAUUGAAAUAUAUGUUUACAGUAGAUAUUCUGGUAAAAAAUUAGAUACGCAUGAAUUUUUUUCUAUUUUAGAGAUAAAAAAAUUAAACAAAUUUCAAAUUAAAAUNUCUGCCAAAUAAAGAGUCUGUCGAUAGACCGAAAUUUGAAAUACAGGCUCUUAUAUUUAGUAUAGAGUAGUUAUAGUGCACAUGCGAUAUACAUCAAAUUUAAUUAAAUUAAAUUUAUAUUUAUAUUUUAAAUUUAAAUUAUUAUUAGUGGUAUAUGUCUAUUUAUUAUUUAAUUUUUUUUCAUACUUUAGUUUAUUUCUAAAUAAGAAUUAUGUAUUUUUAAUUUAGUUAUACUGUAAAUAUUUUUCAUAUGUAUUUCAUAACAAGCAAAUUUUUAUUGAAUUUGAUCUUGAUUCAAAAUUUGAAUUAAUUAAAAAUAUUAAAUUAAUAAAUUCACAUUUAAAUUUAUGAACGAAACUCAAAAUUUUAAAUUUAUUUUGAUUUCAUAAUUAUAAUAUUAGUAGUUAUUGGAGAUAUAGAUCUAUUUAUCAAUUCACAGUAGAUAUUCUCUAAUUGGUAAAAAUUUGGAUAAGUAUAAAUUUUUUUUAUUUUAGAGAUAAAGAGAAAUUAAAAGUUUGUUUCAUUACAUUACUUAUUUUCCAUAAAAAAAGAGGAACCAAUUUUUUUUUCUAACUAAGAAAAUGGGUUUAUUGACCGACCGAAAUUUGAAAUACGUGUAUUGAUAUAUAAUAUAUAUAUAUAUAUAAUUUUUACUAUAUAUAUAAAUUAUACAAUAUUUUAUUUAUAAAUAUUAUUUAUUAAUUAUAUAGUAAUUAAUUUUAUAGUAUCGAUUAUAUAUACUAUUAUAUAUUAUAUUAAAUAUUUAUAGUAUAAUAUAUUUUAAAUAUAUUUUAUUUAUAAAUAUAAAUUAUAAUACUAAUGUAUGUAACAUGAUAAUUAUUAUAUAUCAAUAAUUAUAUAAUACAAAAAAUAAAAAAGUAUAUAUAAUUGUUUUUAUUUAUAUAUAUAUAUAUAUUUUUUACUUUUCAACCAAACAAUCGUAAUAGAAAUCUAUUUUUUUUCCUACAAAUUAAACGCAAUGUAAAACUUAUUAUUCUCCGAAAAUUAUUUUUUACUGAAAUUUUUCUUAUAGUUUUAUGUGAAAUCAAACAGCCCCUACGUAAAUUUGAUGGUUUUAUUUGCGGAUGAAGUAAAUUACGGUGUAGGCGAAACUGCAAGAGUUUUUUAUUUCAAGUUGGCCGGACAUUCCAUACAAUCGGAUAUAGUUAAUAUAACACUAUAGAAAAUGAGCAAUGAUUGGACUAGUAUUAGAAAAGUACCCACUAAAACACAUUUACUAAAUACAAAGUCAUAAAAUAGAAACUUGCAGAAGAACAAACAUUCUGACCAGCAAACAUCAACACAUUUUCUUAAUUUCUUUUAUGGCCAUUGUAUUGAUUGCCUUUUUUUCUUUUUCUUUUUUUUUGCUUGAGACCAAUAUAAGUAGUACAAUAUUCCAAAUCAAAAGGCUACCGGAAUUCCGAAAUGCGCCUAAUGAAGUCUAGAUCAUCAGCGUCCAUGGGAUCCCACCAGUAGAAGUUCAGACAUUUUACGAAUGUUAUGCGCUCCGCAAGAGUUUGUAGAACAGAUGGUCGAGCAGGGUCGUCAGAACUUGCCAAGUGCACAAUCUUGAGAUUUGGAAAUGCGCAGCGCGGCAGAGAAGAUAGCAGCAGCUCACUGUUAGCGCACAAAUAUAGCUGCUCGACGGAUGGAAAAGAUGAGGGCAAUUCUUUCAGUUUUGGGCAGUCUAGUAGCCUCAACUCCGACAAACGAGGAAAAGAUCGUUGCGCUGCUGACGCUUCACACCACCCCUCUAACUUGGGCAUGUGUUCUAAUCUCAAGUUCUCCAAUACUGGGAAUGCAUCAUCACCUGCACCAUAGAACUCUGAGUCCAGGCUCGUGACUGCUAGGAGAGAAACGAGAUGCAGGACUUUAAGAGCAGGCAACUGCCCAAGCGACGGAAGAGACUUGACAACAGGAAGCUUCUCGAGAGAAAGUGUCUCUAGGUUAUGCAAUUGACUUGUUCUUGGGAGGGCCUUACAUCUGAAACAAAAAGAUAAGUGAAGCAAAACAAGAUUUGGAAGACUGGACUCCAACCAUUUCGGAAAAAUUUUGCCCGGGUAGCGAUAUAUCCCCAAUAGGGUCAAAUUUUCGUGCGGUUGGAGGCCGUUGAGGACUUCUUCGGCUACCCCAAGUGAAUUGAUAAGACCUUGCCUGGCUUUUCCUUCUACCUCAGUGCGCACGCAGGCUUCCAUUUGCUUCUUGUAAGUAUCCAAGUCCCAUGCUAAUGAUAGUGCAUUAAGGCCAUCCAUUUCUAUUAAGUUAGCCUCUCUAGCCUGCUGGAAAUUCUUCACAUUUUCUAGGCUAGUAAUCAAUAGGAUGCCUUCAAGAUUAAGUCUGUUGAGCUCCUUGAGGCCGCACUCUCUCUUUUCGUAGACAUCAAAGAGCAGUAGGUCCCGAAAGUAGCUUGGCUGUGUAAGUCCAGCAGGCAUGCACGUUAAUCUAUGGCAAUGACCUGUGCGAAGACAUGUGAGAUUUUUCGCGUUCUUCUUGUUCUCUGAGAGCUUGCGUAGAAAGAGACAGUGUCCUAGAUUAAUUGAUCGAAGAUCUGAGAGGCAACAUAUGCUUUCGGGAAACCUUUUUAUUCUGGUAUUUGCGAGGUUUAAGGUCUGCAAACUCUUUAAAUGACCAAUGGAAUUUGGUAGGAAGACAAAGCUUGUGCAAUAUUCAAGAUUCAGUGCAAGUAGAUUAGAGAGAUUGCCAAUGGAGUCUGGUAAUUCUUUUAAAAAUCGACAUCCUUGUAGGUCCAAAACUUGCAGAUUCUGCAAGAAACCAAUAGAUUGUGGCAGUAUUUCAAGGUUUGUGUAUGACAAAUUGAGAUACCUUAGGUGUCUAAGAUUACUAAUUGAAUUUGGCAAUUCUUUGAUAGGGUAGUAUUUAAGAUAAAGUGCUCUUAGAAGCUUCAUACUAGAGAAAACAGUUUGAAGAAUCUUUAGCAUCAUAUCUUCCUUUCCUAUCUGCACAAAAGGAUGUGAUUUGAGGAAGUAAAAGGUUCUCAACUUUUUGGCUUUAUUGACAAUCUCUAAAACCGAUGGUAUUAUCUCUAUUGUGUAGAUAAAAGAUGAAUAACGUGUCGAAGGAUAUAUGUCUCUUCUAUUGACAACUUUGCCGAUGCUUGAACAUUCUUCACCUGAAACAAAUUGAGCGAGAUCAUGAACAAGAUCAUGAAUCACGACGGCACCUAUCAUAUGCCUAGGUUCCUCGAAAAGUGAUCUCGAUAAUAGCUCUUCAAUAUAUUGGUAACCCACGUCUUCCAAUUCCAUACUCUCGUUGAGUGACCGAACAAAUCCUUCAGCAAUCCAAAGUUGGAUCAGGUCCUUAAUUAUUAUAAUAGUAUCCUUUGGAAAUAUGGAGCAAUAUGCAAAGCAUUGCUUCAGGUGCGACGGCAAAUGAUUAUAACUCAACCUUAGAGCUGGUAAAAUCUCAUUCUCUUCUAACUUCCAACUAUCAUUGUCCCGAACAGCCAACCACUCACUUUCCCUUCUCUUAGAGCGCAUCAAGCUACCUAAAACCUUCGCUGCCAGCGGGACACCACCACAUUUUUUCACAAUCUCCUUUCCAAUGGUAACUAAGUUUGCGGUCUUCUCACAAGCACCUAUCCCAAAUGCUCUUCUCUCAAACAACAACCAACAAUCAUCCUCAGAUAAAGUCUUCAAAAAGUGUGGCUCCACCGUGGCCAUUACUGAGGCAACUCUACUACUACGGGUGGUCACUAUAAUUUUACUUUCGGUCGCACCAAUAGUUAGCAAAGUCCUAAAUUUGUCCCACUUCUCAUAAUUUUCAUUCCACACAUCAUCCAGCACGAGCAAAAAUAUUUUUUUCUCAAGCUCCUGUUUUAGUUUAGACUGCAUCGACGCCAUGCUUGUGAGAUCACAAGCAUUUCCCGUUGUAUGCUCUAUUAUCGAUCUGACAAGCCUUUUAUGGUCAAAAUCAUCAGAAACACACACCCAUAUUCUCUUCUCAAAGUGAUCGCUUAUUUGUCGAUCAUUAUAGACUAAUUGCGCGAGUGUCGUCUUACCGAGCCCUCCCAUCCCAACAAUUGCUAUAAUCCCGAGAUCACCUCCAGGUGUGUCCACAAGAAAUUCGAUGAUCUUUUUCUUAUCUUCUUCCCUACCAUAAACUUCCGAUUCAAUUACGAAGGAGCUAGUUUCUUCUCUCACCACAUUCUCUUGCCUACAGCAUGUUACUACACAUCUCUCUUGCAAAUGAAACUUAGAUCUCUCCUCUGCAAGCUCAUCUAGUCUCUCCCUUAUUUCCCUUAUCUCCCUAGCUAUCUUUAACUGAAACAUAACUGAGUUAGGCAAUGAUAGCACUCUACUUACCGUUCCCUUCAUCCAGCUAGUAGUACUGCUUUCCGGAUCAGUUAAACUCCUCUUCCAGUUCUUGGCGAAGUCCUCGUCCAGCAGAUCGUCGAUAUCGUAGGCCACAUCUUUGAUGCGUCCCAGCCACCCUCUGAGAGCUCUCUCCUGCACUUGCCUCCCCUCCGCAUCCUCGAGCACGUCGCAGAUGGUGGAGAGGGUGCCCUCCAGCUUCUUCAGCUCGGCGCCGACGUCCAUUACUUGACCAAACUCGCCUGUGAUUCGUUCUCUCAGUCUGUCGACCAGCGAACUCAGGACACCGGAAGCUACUACGUCUGCCAUUUUUUUUUUUUUGAUGUAAUCAAUCAAUUGAUCGAUCAAAAACUGAAUGAAACUAAGAUGAAUAAGACUAAACGAAAAGAGGAGAGGAGACCAAUUUUCUACUUCAGAGUAACUAUGUAAAACUAGAAUGGUCAAAUUGAACGAAAUUAAGCUCGAAUAAGACAAAAGGAAAGCAGGAAUGGAGGCCAAUUUUGUUCUGUAAAAAAGACUUUACUUGUGGGGGUGAUUGGCCUGAGAAUAUAAAAAGUCAUUCAUGAAAGAAGGAAAAUGGAAGGCGGCGAAGCAUCAUCAUUCUCACAAGAAAAAUAAAAGGGUAGCCAAAGGGCAUUUUCAGUUUGACCAAACCAACCUGCGUACUCCUUCCGCAAUAUUUGAUUAGGACUUCCUCAAUAACUAUCGCCGCCGCCGCCGACGACAACGCCACCAUCCAACAAGGGGGGGGCGCCCGCCUGGAAGCAAAGACGAAGGCUAGGAGUAGAGCACCGUUUGUUUUGAGUACAUGCAAGUGUACCCCAAACUAGGCAUCCUAAGUGGCUUUUUAAAAUUAAUUUUCUGUUGAAUCACAUUUGGGAUCAUAAUUUGGCGAGCUUUGUUAGUUACAUGCAAUAUUAACUCUAUUCAGGAAACGCAUGUGACUCUUUUGUUACUGUUACUCCUUUUGUUACUAAUUUUAUUUAAAUAUUUUGCUUUUUUUUAAAAAAUAAUAAUAAUAAUAAUAAAUCCUCACUUUUAACAAAUUAUCAGGAGCAUAAACCCUCUAUGAUGGGGGUGCAUAUAACUAUAUUACUAUUUUGAUUAACCUUUCACAUGUCCCAUUAUAUCAAGGUGACCGCAUAUACCAAGUUUUUUAUCAAACUAGUAUAAUUAAAUUGUGAUUUUAUGCAACUAUGAUUAGUUUUUUUUUAUAGUUUUUUUUUACUCGUAAUCUAAUAUCUUAUUUGGCCCCCGAGUUGACACAGGUAAUGAUUGUCCAGCCUUUCAAAUUUUAUAAAAAAAAGAUUAAUUAAUAUCAAUUUUAAAGACAAUAGUAUCCGGUAAAUAAAAAAAAAAAACUGUAUAUCCCCUUAGUCUUAAAUUUUGGUUUUUGUUGCUUCAUAUUUUGAUCUCCCAACUAGGUUAAGUUUUCAAUUUGACUACUUUACUAAUUACCAUUUUCACCUAAUUAAUUGGAAGGGGGAUAUUCUAAUCAUGGCCAGCUUAAUCGGAGGUAGCCCGAAUAUAGCGAGAGGGCGUAAUUAACCGGGUACCUGCGGGUAUCCGGGAAGCAUGAACUUCUUAAUCUUUGGUUCUUUUAAGUCUAUUUAGACUAAUAAAUAGGAACAUUUUCUCUUUACUUAUUUAAAAUUUCUUUUUGUUUUUCCCUUGUUCAUUUUUCUGAAAAAACAAUUAUAAAUAAUAUUCCAAAGGAGAGGAAAUUUCAAAAAUAACCUUUACACUAACUUACCAUCAAUUUUAAAUAAACAACAAAUAAAAUUCCAACUUUACUCCUAUUGUUAUUACCAUCUUAAAAUAUUUAAUUAGCUAUAAAAUCAUAUAUAAUUUUGUAAACACCCUUUUAAAUUCAUAAAUAACCUACAUUUAGAGGCUGUUUGGUUGCACGUAUUUGCAACUGCACUGUAGUUAUAAAUACAUGCAACCUCAAUUCCUGUAUUUGGUUUAAUGCAGUUGAGUCCAACUGCUGCAGUUACAACUGCACAAAAAUGUUCAAAUGCUAUAGUUGGAACUACAUUCAAAUUAGCUGCAGUUCCAACUGCAGCAGUUGGUGAGGAAUAGAAUUACCCACAAAUUAACAAUAAUAAAUAAAUAAAUAAAUAAAUAAUAUAUAUAUGGAUAAAUAAAAAUAUUUGUAAAUAAACACAUACUAAUAAAAACUUUUAGGCGACAUAAUAAAAAUUUUUAGGCGACACAAGUUUCGUGCAAAAAAUUAAAUUUUAUUAUUAUUCGUCCAAAAAAUUAAACUCAUCCAGCUAGUAGUACUGCUUUCCGGAUCAGUUAAACUCCUCUUCCGGUUCUUGGCCAAGUCCUCGUCCAGCAGAUCGUCAAUAUCGUAGGCCACAUCUUUGAGGCGUCGCAGCCACCCUCUGAGAGCUCUCUCCUGCACUUGCCUCCCCUCCGCAUCCUCGAUCACGUCGCGGAUGGCGGAGAGGGUGCCCGCCAGCUUCUUCAACUCGGCGCCGACGUCCAUCAGCUGACCAAACUCGUUUGUGAUUCGGUCCCUCAGUCUGUCCAGCAGCGAGUUCAGGACGUCCGAAGCCACUACGUCUGCCAUUUUCUCUUUGAUGAUUCUUUUCUUUUCGUAUCAAUCAAUCAAUUAAAAAUUAUCUGUUUCAAUGUAAUAUAUAAAACUGCAAUAGUCAAAUUGAAUGAAAUUAAGAUGCAUAAAUAUCUGACGAAUGAACGAACGUUGCCGGUUGAAGAACAGGACUAAACGAAAGGAGCAGAGGACACGAAGUUUGUGCUGUGAAAAAGACUUUUGACUUGUGGAUCCUAGCAUGUCCGUGGGUGAUUGGCCUGAGAAUAUAAAAAGUCAUACAUAAAGAAGAAAAAUGGAAGGCGAAACUUUAUCAAUCUCACCAGAAAAAAAAAAAGAGGCCAAUGUCAUUCUCAUGUUGACCUUAUCUGCUUGCGUACUAUUUCUGCAAUAUUAUGAUUAGGUCUUUCUCUAAGACUGUGCGUGGUUCCACAACCAAAGUUUAAUAACUCUUGUCUUUUCAAAAAUAAGAAAUAUUCUGAUAUAAGUUAGAACAACAAUAAUUGUAUUUGGAUGUGCUCUGAUGAGGAUAAAAAUGUAUGCCGACUGCUCAACUAUAGAACAUUUUAGCAUUGACCCCUCAACUCCAAACCUUUUUUUCUUUUUUUCUUUUUUUUGAUUAAACAGGGAUAUACCCUAUUUACAGGAAAACCUUUUUUUCUUGGUUUGACUCUCUUUCGACUUCUAAUAUUUUUAUAAUUUUUUUAUUUCGUUAAAUUUAAAAUCUUUGUUAAAUUUAAUAGUUCAAUUAAUAUUGGCAAUUAAUUAAUUUAAUUUUAGUUGCUAUCAAAUGGUAAAAGUUAUUAAAUUUAAUAAAUUAUUAGUAAAGUUAAUAAACUUUUAAAUUUUUUGAUUAAAGUUACUUGAUUUGAAAAACCAAGAAAAAUUAAGUAUGGCCUAUAGUUGAGUACAUGUGAUCUCCCUACAUUCUUUGUUUUUCAAGAGCAGUUUAAUUAUUCUUAGUUACUGAAGGAAAAAAUUUAGAAUGGACCAGGUAUAAUAUUGCUGAUGAUAUGGCAUCCCCAUCCAGUCAGAUAGCUCCCUUUCGAUUCACCCGUCCCAUCUUGAUUAUUAGAAAAAUAUUUUUAUUAUGCUUUUCUCUUAAAAAGAGAGAUGUGAUUUGCUAAUUAUUGAUAAUAUAGUGCAAGUGUAACACAGUAAACUUUUUUUAUAACGGUAGAACCAACAAUAAUAGUCGCCCUAUCCAUUCAGAUUUCAAACACUCCGGCUUCUGCCACUCCUUUCGCAACUUUCAGCCCAUUUCGUGUAGUAGAAGAGCAAAAGCUCUCGCGCGCGUCGUGUGACCACCCUUCAGGUUGAAAUUUAGGUUGAAAUUUGGGCGGGAAUGUGGGAACAAAAUUUAUAGGAGAAAUGCUACCUAUAAACCCAAAAAGGAAUUUAUAUCACAUAUCCCAUUUAUCUAAUAGAUUAAAUUAUUUUAUAAAAUAAUUUCAUCCAUUAGAUUGGUGGGUGUAUAUCCUCCAAAAUAAAGUGUAUAAGUAGAAUUUACUAAUUUCUAAACACACAUUUAUAUCUAUACCAUGGUAAGGUUACUACGAAUACUCCGAAUCUAAAGGUGGUUAACCAAUAUUAAACUGGUAUGAUUUCAUUUAUGGAUAUAAAAAAUAAAAUUUGACUAAUUUGGAUUGAGGUAUGAUUUUUAUCUGCGCCCUACCCGAUUCCAAACACAAACCAAUUUUAUAAUAUAUAAUAUAAAAAAAUUUAAAUUUAUGCUUUGAAAAUUUCAAAUGAUAUGUUUUGAAAUUUGAUAAGAGAAAUAGUCGCUUUCGGGUUUGGACUUUCAUGUUUGGUUUCGGAUUUUGAUUUUUUGUCGGGUUUCGGUUUUGGUUAUAGAUUUUUAAAAUUCGACUGUUUCAGAUUUGUCUCCAGAUUUCGAUUUUAGCUGUCCAGUUCGGAUUUGAAUUUUGGAAAACCAGUCCCAAGUCCGACCAAUUGGCAUCCCUAAUACCACGACCCCUGCCCCUUUGUUUGGUAGUUAGAUAAAAGAGAUUUAUUAAUUCAAAACUUAAAAUAUAUAUAUAAAUAAUUAAAAUAAAAAGAGAUCUUCUAUAUAAUUUUCCAAUACUAUAGUGCAUUAAAUAAUUUUAUUCAAUUUAUAUAAUUCUAUUGCCCUUUUUAUAAGCAAUUUAUUCUGCAAACUUGUUUUUGUAAAGUUUCACAGCUGAAUUUACAGCUAAAUUCAACAGUAAUCCUAAAAGUAGGAUCCAUUAAAGACAAUUAUAACAAAGCGCAGGGGACAUUAAUAAUAUAAUAUUUGAUGCGGAGGGUUAACGAGACACGAUGUAAAAUGCAAUGGGCCUUUUUGCUAUUUGACCAAUUAUUUUAGUGUGAAUUAAAUGACGGGUUUUAUUUUUCAAUUUCUAAGAAAAUUUUUAGUUAAAAGUUUGUUUGGGUGGGAGUGAGGUGGAAGUGGAAAGGGAGAAAUCGUUUUCGUCAUGAAAGAUCAUUUUCAUUGUUUGGUUCGUCGUAAAAUAUUUACGGUCGAAACUCGAGUUAAUCUGAAAUUGUGUAAUUGACUUCGGCCCAUCGCAAGCCGAAAUCAAUUACUAUGAAAUAAGAUGAAAAAAAUAUAAUAAAAUAAUAUACUAGGUAAAAAUCGUUACAUUUAAAUAUAUUUAAUUAUGGUACUAAUUACUCUAUUAUUCAGUUGGCAUAUUUAAAAUAUUAUAAAAUUUGAUUAGUUAAGUUUUAAUAUUUUCGUUAUUUAGUUUGUAAAAUUAAAAUAAAUAAAAAUUUAUUAAUUAAGUAUUAAUAUUUAUUUUACUUUAAUUUUAUUGUAGUAUUACUAUAAUUUAUGUAUAAAAAAAUAAUUUAAUUAUUUUAAAUUAAAUUUUAAUUAUAUAAAAAUAUAAUUAUAUUAUUUUUAUUUAUUUAAGUCAACAAUAAAGAAAGAAAAUGGAGGCCGAAACUUUUAUUCAAUGCUCACAAAAAAAAAGUUACAAAAAUUCUCAUAGUUGCCUUAUCUGUCUUGCUACUAUUUCUGCAACUAUUUCUUGAUAGGAAUCCUCGAGCACGUCGCGGAUGGCGGAGAGGGUGCCCGCCAGCUUCUUCAGCUCGGCGCCGACGUCCAUUAGCUGACCAAACUCGUUUGUGAUUCGGUCCCUCAGUCUGUCCAGCAGUGAGUUCAGGACGUCCGAAGCCACUACCUCUGCCAUUUUUUUUUUGAUGUUUCUAUUCUUUUCGUAUCAAUCGAUCGAUUAAAAUUUAUCUGUUUCAUCGUAAUAUAUAAAACUACAAUAGUCAAAUUGAAUGAAAUUAAGAUGAAUAAAUAUCUGACGAAUGAACGAACGUCCCCGGUAGAAGAACAGGACUAAACGAAAGGAGCAGAGGAGACCAAUCUUGUGCUGUGAAAAAGACUUUGACUUGUGGAUCCUAGCAUGUCCGUGGGUGAUUGGCCUGCGAAUAUAAAAAGUCAAACAUAAAGAAGAAAAAUGCAAGGCGAAACAUCAUCACUCUCACACGAAAAAUAAAAGGGAGGGCAAAGGUCAUUCUCAGGUUGACCAAAUCAACCUGCUUCUUUAAUACUAUAUUUGGCUCGAAAACUAAAUUUUAGAAAAUAAUAAGAAAUAUUUUCUCACUAUCCUUCAAAAUAAGUCUAAUAACAUAAAUAUUCCUAUAAAAAUUGUAAUAUCAUAAAUAACCUCCAAAAGAGACGAACUUUCAAAAAUAAUCUUCACACUAACUUACCGUCAAUUUUGAGUACACGGUAAAUAAAAUUCCAACUUUACCAAUUUUACAAUAUAUAAUAUAUAAAAAUUUAAAUUUGUGCUUUUAAAAUUUCAAAUGAUAUGUUUUGAAAUUUGAUAAAGAGAAAUAGCCGCUUUCGGGUUCGGAUUUUCAUGUUUGGUUUCAGAUUUUGUUUUUUUGUUGGGUUUCGCUUUUGGUUAUAGAUUUUUAAAAUUUGACAGCUUUAGAUUUGACUCCAGGUUCUAAUUUUGGCUGUCGAGUUCGGAUUUGAAUUUUGUAAAACCAGUCCCGAGUCCGACCAUUGGCAUCCCUAAUACCACCAGGUCCCCCACCCCUGCCCGUUGUUUGGUACUUAGAUAAAAGAGAUUUAUUAAUUCAAAACUUAAAAAAAUAUAUUAAUAAUUUAAAUAAAAGAGAUCUUCUAUAUAUUUUUUUUGAAUACUAUCAAAAUUAAUAGUGCGUGCAUUGACUAAUUUUAUUCAAUUUAUAUAAUUCUAUUGCCUUUUUUAUAAGCAAUUUAUUCUGCAAACUUAUUUUUUAAAAGUUUUACAGCCGAAUUUUCAGCUAAAUUCAAUAAUAAUUCUAAUAGUAGGAUCCAUUAAAGAUAAUUAUGAUAAGGUGCAGCCGACAAUUAAUAUAAUUUUUGAUGCAGAGGGUAAAUGAGACACCACGUAAAAUGCAAUGGGUCUUUUUGUUAUUUAGCUAAUCCAUAUAGUUUUGUAUUUUCUCACUUUAAUAUCUUGUGGUUUAAACUGUAUCAUUUUAGUAUCUUGUGGUUUCAUUUUUCUUCUUUCAUUAUCUCCUCCGUUAAUUUUUUCAUUAAAUCAACGAGAAAUUUAAAACUAUAGGGUACUAAAAUAAAAUUUCGUAAACCACAAGAUACUAAAGUGAAUAUUCGAUAAAUAAUAGGGGGUAUCUGAAGUUUUUUUUCUACAUAUUUUCACGGGGAGUUAAUGAAAAGGAUAAGGGAAAUAGGAAAGAAAAACCAUAGGGUACUAAAAUGAUAUACUUUAUGCCACAGGGUAUAUAUUUUAACGGAGAGUUAAUAGAGGGUAUAACGGAAAGAAAAAAACGAAACCACAUGAUACUAAAGCGGGGGUUUUUAGUGCAAUAGUUCUCUUCUAAAAUUUUAUUUUAAAAAUAAAUCUAUUAAAUUUUUAUUUAUAGAUAUAGUUCUAUAAAAGCGGUAAAUGAUUCACCGAUUUUAAAAGCGGUGAACUAUUCACCGCUUUCUUUCUUUCUCUCACUUCUUUUUAUAAUUUUAUGAUGGUAAAAGCGGUGAAUGGUUCACCGCUUUUUCUGUUUUUCUACUCUUAAAUAAAAGUUAUGAAUGCGGUGAAUGAUUCACCACAUUUAAAGGUUUAUUUUUAUAAUUAUUUUUUUAAGAAAACUAUUUUUAUAAUUAUAAAAAUUGAUAAGAUUAGUUAUAAAAAAAAAUUCUACUAAAAUGAUACACUUUUAAUCACAGUGUACUAAAGUGAGAAAAUGCUAAACCACAUGGGGAUAUUUGAAAUUUUUUUUAUUAUUUUAGUCUGAAUUAAGCUCACUGGGAAGUUUGGAUAAAGAGUAUAAUUAAAUGCCUACACCGACGUACUGUUCAUUUCUCAGAAAUUAGAAAUCAUCUUGUAUAUAGAAUACAUCAUCCUAAAAAAUAAUGAUAACUAUUAGCAUUUUGAAAGAAUCAAAAUCUAAAACUAUAUUUUCUUUCAACGAAACAACUGUAAUAGAAAACUAUAUUUUUUUUCGUACAAACCAAACACAACAUAAAACUUACUUCACUACAAUAAAACUAAGCUAUAGCGACACUUUUUAGUGUUCCUAAAAUCUAAAAAAAGUGUUGCUGGCAAAAAAACCGACACUAAAAAUAGUGUCGCUAUAUGUGCAGUCCCUAGGGUAUAUAGCAACACAUAAUAAAGUGUCGGUAUAUCCCAAAUAAGUGCUGCAGUUUAGUGACACUUUUUUUUGCUUUUAGUGACACACAUAAGUGUCCCUAAUUUUUUUUUAAAAAGUAUUAUUUUUUUUAUAUAGUGACACUUUAUAAGUGUCCCAUUGUCAUUCAAUAUAUAAUAUUUUAUUUAAACAUCUAUUCUAGUAUUAAACUUUAGUUAAACUAAUCUCAUGUACAUUAAAUCGAUGAGACUAAAAAAAAAGAAUCAACAAAGUUCCUUAAAUUCUCGUUAAAAUGAUAAAACUAAAAUCAAAUAUCUAUACGUUACAACAAUAAUAUACACUCAUAUGUUGUAGUACUUAUAACAAAUUAAACUCUCUAACUAAAAAAAAUAUAAAAAAUCAAAAAUUGUUUGAUAACAAAAAUUAAAAAGUGCAUAAACGAAUUUUGAUCGGCCCCACGACUAUAUACUUGAACCUGCACAUUGAAAAACAUUUGAAUUAAUUCAAAUUUUUGCAAUAUCCUUGAUUUGCCAAAGCAUUAAAAAAAAAAAGAGACUUGUUGAAAUUCUGUCACAUGCAUCUAUUAACAAAGUGUACACAAUUGUUGCAGAACUUGAACUAUAACGGAGCUUCGAAAUAGACUUGUCAUUGUUUGUCGGCACCCCCCCAAUAUUUUUUCUUUCCCUUUUGAUUUGUGUUAUUUCUACUAAAUUGGUUGGGGGUUAAGUUAAACAUAACUAUCAGUUAACUACCUAAUACUAAUUGUCAACAAAUCCCACAAUUUUGACAAACAGAACUUGUAAAGCCACUCAAAUUAAUCAAAUCACCAUUAAACCUAACAAACUUGCCACAAUUCAACACGCAAAGGAAACAAAUUAAUCAAAACAAAUGAAAGUUGCGGAGGAUGUGCGUACAUUCAGGAUAAUUACGGAUAUAUAUUGGGGGGUGGCACAUUUCUAUAGAUUUGUUGGAUAAUAUUUAUGUAAUAUUCUAGAAUAACCUAGUUUGACCAGAAUAAUUAUAAGUUCUGACGAACGUCUUACAUAUUCUUUAGCUAUAAGAGGAUAAAUCCAAUUAUCCCUCAUUUGUCCCACCCAAACAAAUUUACAUCAUAAUCAAAUUAGUAUUUUAAGAAAAAAAGGCACAGAUCAAACUAACGAUAGCAACUCAAUGAAGUGAUUGUUCCAAUAGAACAUAUCAACCUAUGUUAUCAUGGUGUUGGAGGAAUAGAUCAAACUAAUUGCAAACAAAAUCUAGAGAAAAGAAAUUACUUUUUCCCUACCUCAGUUAAUGCUGAAUGGAUACUUUCCCUCUAGGCAUCUAAGUGGCCACUUAAUGCUGAAUGGAUAUUUGGGCUUUGAUUAUUUUUUUUAAAAAAAAUUGAAUAUAUAUGGGACACUUGUACAAAAGUGUUUUUAAAAUGUGUCGCUAUAACCUAGUUUUGUUAUAGUGCUUUUCUUCAAAAAAUUUUUCUAUUCAAAUUUUUGUUUCAUAGUUUUACGUGAAAUCAAACUGCCUCCUACCUGAAUUUAAUGGUUUUAUUUGCCAAUGAAGAAAAUUACGAUUCAAGCGAAACAGGAAGAGUUUUUUUUUUUUUUUCAAGUUGGCCGCACAUUUCAUAUAAUCGGAUAUAAUUUAUUAAUAUAAUACUAUAGAUAACAAGCAAUGAUUGGAUUGGUAUUAGAAAAGUACCCACUAAAACAAAUUUACUAAAUACAAAGUCAUAAAACACAAACUUGCAGAAGAGUAAACAAUAUGACCAGCAAACAUCAACACAUUUUCUUAAUUUUGGCCAUUGUAUUGAUUGCCAAUUUUUUUUUUUUCUUCCACUUGAGACGAAUGUAAUUAGUAGUGCAAUAUUCCAAAACAAAAGGCUAUGGGAGUUCCGCAGCGUAUCUGAUGAAGUCUAGAUCAUCAUCGUCCAUGGGAUCCGACCAGUAGAAGUCUAGACAUUUUACGUAUGUUAAGCGCUCCGCGAGAAUUCGUGGAACAGAUGGUCAAGCAGAGUCAUAGGAAUUUGCCAAGUGCACAAUCUUGAGAUUCGGAAAUGCGCCGUGUGGGAGAGAAGAUAGCAGCAGCUCACUAUUAGCGCACAAAUAAAGCUGCUCGACUGACGGAAAAGGCGAGGGCAGUUCUUUCAGUUUUGGGCAGUCUAGUAGCCACAACUCGGACAGACGAGGAAAAGAUUGUUGCGCAGCUGAUGCUUCACACCACUCCUCCAACUCUGGCAUGUGUUCUAGUUUCAAUCUCUCCAAUACUGGGAAUGCACCAUCACCUGUACCGUAGAACUCUGAGCCCAGGCUCUUGACUGCUAGGAGAGCAACGAGAUGCAGGACUUUAAGAGCAGGCAACUGGCCGAGCGGCAGAAGAGACUUGACGGCAGGAAGCUUCUCUAGAUAAAGGAUCUCAAGGUUAUGCAAUUGACUUGUUCUUGGGAGGGUCUCACAUCUGAAACAAGAAGAUAAGUAAAGCUCAACAAGAUUUGGAAGACUGGACUCCAACCAUUUUGGAAAAUUUUUGCCCGGGUAGCGACAUAUCUUAAGUAGGGUCAAAUUUUCAUGCGGUCGGAGGCCGUCGAGGACUUGUUCGGCUACCGCAAGUGCAUUGAUCAGACCUUGUCUGCUUCUUCCUUCUACGUCAGUGCGCACGCAAGCUUCCAUCUGCUUCUUGUAAGUAUCCAGGUCCCAUGCCAACCCUAGUGAGUGAAGACCAUCCAUUUCUAUUAAGUUAGCCUCUCUAGCCUGCUGAAAAUUCUUCACAUUUUCUAGGCUAGUAAUGCCUAGGACGCCUUCAAGGUUAAGUCUGUUGAGCUCCUUGAGGCCACAUUCGCUCUUUUCGCAAAGGUCAAAGAGCAGUAGUUCUCGAAAAUAGCUUCCCUGUGCAAGUCUAGCUGGCAUGCGCGUUAAUUUAUGGCAAUGACUCGUGCAAAGACAUGUGAGGCUUUCCGUGUUUUUCUUGUUCUCCGGGAGCUCGCGUAGAAAGUAACAAUGUCUUAGAUUAAUUGAUCGAAGAUCUGAGAGGCAACAUAUGCUUUCGGGCAACUUUUUUAUUCUGGUAGAUGUGAGGUUUAAGGUUUGCAAACUCUUUAAAAGACCAACGGAAUUUGGUAGGGAGACAAAGCUUGUGCAACAUUCAAGAUUCAGUGUUAGUAGAUUGGAGAGAUUACCAAUGGAGUCUGGUAAUUCUUUUAAAAAUCGACAUCCUUGCAAGUCCAAAACUUGCAGAUUCUGCAAGAAACCAAUAGAUUGUGGCAGUGUUUCAAGGUUUGUGUAUGACAAAUUGAGAUACCUUAGGUGUCUAAGAUUACUAAUUGAAUUUGGCAAUUCUUUGAUUGGGUAGUAUUUAAGAUAAAGUGCUCUUAGAAGCUUCAUACUAGAGAAAACAGUUUGAAGAAUCUUCAGCAUCAUAUCUUCCUUUCCUAUCUGCAUAAAAGGAUGUGAUUUGAGGAAGUAAAAGGUUCUCAACUUUUUGGCUUUAUUGAGAAUCUCUAAAACCGAUGGUAUUAUCUCUAUUGUGCAUAUAAAUGAUGAAUAACGUGUCGAAGGAUAUAUAUCUCUUCUGUUGACAGCUUUGGCGAUGCUUGAACAUUCUUCACCUGAAACAAAUUGAGCAAGAUCAUGAACAAGGUCAUGUAUCACAACGGCACCUAUCAUAUGCGUAGGUUCCUCAAAAAGUGAUCUCGAUAAUAGCUCUUCGAUAUAUUGGUAACCCACAUCUUCCAAUUCCACGCUCUCGGUGAGUGACCGAACAAAUCCUUCAGCAAUCCAAAGUUGGAUCAGGUCCUUAGCUAUUAUAAUGGUAUCCUUUGGAAAUAUGGAGCAAUAUGCAAAACAUUGUUUCAAGUGCGACGGCAAAUGAUUAUAACUCAACCUUAGAGCUGGUAAAAUCCCAUUCUCUUCUAACUUCCAACUUUCAUUGUUUCGAACAGCCAGCCACUCACUUUCCCUUCUCUUAGAGCGCAUCAAGCUACCUAAAACCUUCGCUGCGAGCGGGACACCGCCACAUUUUUUCACAAUCUCCUUUCCAAUGGUAACUAAGUUUGCGGUCUUCUCAUUAGCACCUAUCCCAAAUGCUCUUCUCUCAAACAACAACCAACAAUCAUCCUCGGAUAAAGUCUUCAAAAAGUGUGGCUCUACCGUGGCCAUUAGUAAGGCAACUCUACUACUACGACCGGUCACUAUAACUUUAGUUGCGGUGGCACCAAUAGUUAGCAAAGUCCUAAAUAUGUCCCAUUUCUCGCAAUUUUCAUUCCAUACAUCAUCCAGCACAAGCAAAAAUCUCUUUUUCUCAAGCUCCUGUUUUAGCUUAGACUGCAUCGCUGCCAUACUUGUGAGAUCGCAAGCUUUUCCUGUUGUAUGCUCUAUUAUUGAUCUGGCAAGCCUUUUAUGGUCAAAAUCAUCCGAAACACACACCCAUAUUCUCUUCUCAAAGUGAUCGCUUAUUUGUUGAUCAUUGUAAACUAUUUGUGCAAGUGUCGUCUUACCGAGCCCUCCCAUCCCAACAAUUGCUAUGAUCCCCAGAUCACCACCAGAUGUGUCCACAAGAAAUUUGAUGAUCUUUUUCUUAUCUUCAUCCCUACCGUAAAAUUCCGAUUCAAUUACGAAAGAGCUAGUUUCUUCUCUCCCCACAUUCUCUUGCCUACAGCAUGUUACUACAGAUCUCUCUUGCAAAUGAAACUUAGAUCUCUCCUCCGCAAGCUCAUCUAGUCUCUCCCUAAUCUCUCUAAUCUCCCUACCAAUCUUUAAUUGAGAAAUAAUUGAGGUAGGAAAUGAUAGCACUUUACUUACCGUUUCCUUCAUCCAGCUAGUAGUACUGCUUUCCGGAUCAGUUAAACUCCUCUUCCGGUUCUUGGCGAAGUCCUCAUCCAGCAGAUCGUCGAUAUCAUAGGCCACAUCUUUGAGGCGUCGCAGCCACCCUCUGAGAGCUCUCUCCUGCACUUGCCUCCCCUCCGCAUCCUCGAGCACGUCGCGGAUGGCGGAGAGGGUGCCCUCCAUCUUCUUCAUCUCGGCGCCGACGUCCAUUAGCUGACAAAACUCAUUUGUGAUUCGGUCUCUCAGUCUGUCCAGCAUUGAGUUUAGGAUGUCCGAAGCCACUACGUUUGCCAUUUUCUCUUUGAUGAUUCUUUUCUUUUCGUAUCAAUCAAUCAAUUAAAAAUUAUCUGUUUCAAUGCAAUAUAUAAAACUGCAAUAGUUAUGUUGAAUGACGUUAAGAUGAUUAAAUAUCUGACGAAUGAAUGAACGUCCGCGGUAGAAGAACAGGACUAAACGAAAGGUGCAGAGGAUGACCAAUUUUUUGCAGUGAAAAAGACUUUGACUGGAGGAUCCUUGAAUGUUGGUGGGUGAUUGGCGUGAGGAUAUACAAAGUCAGAAAUGGGAGGCGAAAGGCCAAAUAUCAUUCUCAUGUUGACCUUUUCUACUUGCGUACUAUUUCUGCAAUAUUUUGAUUUGGACUUUCUCUAAGACUCUGUCCGUGGUUCCAAAACCAAAGUUUUAGAAAAUAACUCUUAUCAUUUCAAAAAUAAGAAAUAUUCUGAUAUAAGUUAGAACAACAGUAAUUGUAUUUGGAUGUGCUCUGACGAGGGUAAAAAUGUGUGUGGACUCCUCAACUGUAGAACAUUUUAGCAUUGACCUCUCAACUCCAAACUUUUGUUUUUUUUUGUUUGACACUCUUUCGACUUCUAAUAUUUUUUAAAAUUUUUUUUCUUUUGUUAAAUUUAAAAUCUUUGUUAAAUUUAAUAGUUCAAUUAAUAUUGGCAAUUAAUUAAUUUAACUUUACUUGCUAUCAAAUGGUAUAAGUUAUUAAAUUUAAUAAAUUAUUAGUAAAGUUAAUAAACUUUUGAAUUUGUUUGAUUAAAGUUAUUUGAUUCGAAAAACCAGGGAAAAUUAAGAAUGGCCUAUAGUUGAGUACAUGGGAUCUCCAUACAUUCUUUGUUUUUCCGGAGCAGCUUAAUUAUUCUUAGUUACUGUGGGAAAAAAUUUUAAAUAUAAUAUUGCUGGUGAUAUGGCAUCCCUAACCAGUCAUAUAGCUCCCUUUGGGUUCAUCCGUCCCAUUGUCAUUAUUAGAAAAAUAUUUUUAUUAUAUUUUUCUCUAAAAAAGGAAGAUGUGUUUAGCUAAUUAUUAAUAAUGUAGUAUAAGUGUGACACAGUAGACUUCCUCAUUACUGUAGAGCCAACAAUAAUAAUUGUCCUAUUCAUUCAGAUUUCAAACACUCCCGCUUCUGCCAUUCCUUUCGUAACUUUCAGUCCAUUUCUUGCAAAAGAAGAGCAAAAACUCUCGCACGUGUCGUGUGACCAGCAAAUUUGGGCGGGAAUGUGAGAACAAAAUUUAUAAGAGUAAUGCCACCCAUAAACCCAAAAAGGGAUUUAUAUCAUAUAUCCCAUUUAUCUAAUAGAGUAAACUAUUUUAUUUGUUAUAUAAUUUAAUAAAUAAAAUAAUCUCACCCAUUAGAUCGGUGGGUAUAUAUCAUACACUCCAAAAUAAAGUGUAUAAAGAAUUUACUAAUUUCUAAACACACAUUUAUAUCUAUACCAUGGUAAGGUUACGAAAACUCGGAAUUUUAUAUAAGUUCGAAUCACAAGGUGGUUAACCAAUAUUAAACUGGUAUGAUUUCAUUUAUGGAUGGAUAUAAAAAAUAAAAUUCGACUAAUUCGAUUUGAGGUAUGAUUUUUAUCUGCGCCCUACCAGGUUCCAAACACAAACCAAUUUUAUAAUAUAUAAUAUAUAAAAAUUUAAAUUUGUGCUUUGAAAAUUUCAAAUGAUAUGUUUUGAAAUUUGAUAGAGAGAUAUAGUCGCUUUCGGGUUUGGAUUAUCAUGUUUGGUUUUGGAUUUUGAUUUUUUGUCGGGUUUUCGGUUUUGGUUAUAGAGUUUUAAAAUUCGACUGCUUCAGAUUUGUCUCCAGGUUUCGAUUUUUGCUGUGCAGUUCAGAUUUGAAUUUUGGAAAACCAGUCCCAAGUCCCACCAAUUGGCAUCCCUAAUACCACCACCCCUGCCCCUUUCUUUGGUACUUAGAUAUUUAUUAAUUCAAAACUUAAAAUAUAUAUAAAUAAUUUAAAUAAAAGAGAUCUUCUAUAUAAUUUUCUAAUACUACCAAAAUUAAUAGUGCAUUAAAUAAUUUUAUUCAAUUUAUAUAAUUCUAUUGCCCUUUUUAUAAGAAAUUUAUUCUGCAAACUCAUUUUUGUAUAGUUUCACAGCUGAAUUUACAGCUAAAUUCAAUAGUAAUCCUAAUAAUAGGAUCCAUUAAAGACAAUUAUAAAGUGCAAGGGGCAUUAAUAUAAUAUUUAAUGCAGAGGGUAAACGAGACACGACGUAAAAUCCAAUGGGCCUUUUUGCUAUUUGACCAAUUAUUUUAGUGUGAAUUAAAUGAGCGGUUUUAUUUUUCAAUUUCUAAGAAAUUUCUUAGUUAAAUGUUUGUCCGGUGGAAAUGGAGUGGAAGUGAAGAGGGGAGAAAUCGUCUUCGCUAUAAAAGAUUAUUUUUAUUAUUUGGUUCGUCUUAAAACAUAUACGAUCGAAAUUCGAGUUAAUCUGAAACGACGUAAUUGAUUUCGACCCAUCGUGGGUCAAAAUUAAUUACGGUAAAAAUAUAUGAAGAAAAUAUAAAAAAAAAAUAAUAUACUAGGUAAAAACAAUUAUAUUUAAAAAUAUUUAAUUAUGAUACUUAUUACUCUUUUAUUUAGUUGGCAUAUUUAAAAUAUGAUAAAAAUUGAUUAGUUAAGUUUUAAUAUUUUCGUUAUUUAGUUUGUAAAAUUAAAAUAGAUAAAAAUUUAUUAAUUAAGUAUUAAUUUUUUUUACAUUAAUUUUAUUUUAGUAUUACUAUAAUUUAUGUAUAAAAAAAUAAUUUAGUUAUUUUAAAUUAAAUUUUAAUUACAUAAAAUAUAAUUAUAUUAUUUUAUUUAUUAAAUUAUUUAUUAUUUAUAUAUAAAUUAUAGUCUUAUAUCAUACACUUUCUACCAAACAAACAAUAGAACUAAUAAAAUUUUAUUUUAAUAACUACGAAAUAAACAACGAAAAAGAAGUAGUUUUAACUGAACUCCACUUCAACUCAAAGUUCAAUUUCGAUGAAAUAAACAUUCUAUUUGUUUGAUUCCAUAUAAAAUAACCUCGAAAAGAAAUUUUUAAUUGAAAAGUAGAAUUCCAAUAUUUAUUUGCGCGUAAAUUUUUUUUUUUACAUGUAUGGUGAAAAAGGGGGGUUUUUGUUUUCCGCUCUAAACCAAGAGAAAAAUGAAAACCUCGUCGGAAGAAAACGCGGCGUGGGAGGGGAAGUGGGCACGAAGUACAGUCGACCUCCUGGACCGUAAGAGAGAGGUCCACCGUGAACCUAUUUCUCUCCCCCACUCUUUUUCUUUUAUAUAUACAUAUUAAAAAUUGUAUUUUAUUUUUAAUAUAAAUAUAGUAUUAUAGAAUAUUGUAUUUAUAAAUAUAUAAUAAUUUAUUUUAUAGUAUUAAAUAUAUAUUAUUAUAUAUUAUAUUUCAUACUUAAUUAGGAAUUAAUUUCGUACAGAUCCCUGUAAAUAUAGUGAAUAAUAAAUAUAUUUCUACAAAGUUUAAUUUUUAUAUAUUAUCCCUACAAAAGUUCUCAUAUUUUCAAAUUAAAAUUUAUAUAUAAAUUUAAAAUUUAAAAAUUAAUUAUUUAUGAUGGCUUGCUUUCAGUUUGGCACUUUCUUUGUAUGGUGAAAUUGAUUGCUUUCUUUGCACAAUAAAAAAUUGAAUUUGACUUGAAUUUAGAAUUUACUGUUUUGAUAUUAAGUUAAAUAUUAUAAAAUAUUCUGGAAUGCGCGAUGGUGUGGCGACGUCGCACCGAGAUACCGUUUCCCUCACUUGUAUGCUGCCGCGCAUCACAAACACCUCGCUGUCGCAACCUGGUUUCGACGUUUCGCUGCGCGACCAAACUUGGGUCAUUCUGUACCACUUGGAAUCCAUGAACAAGACGAACUACACCGACUUGAGAUAUUGAUCCACAACGUCACUUUAUCGGCUGAGGAUGACACCCCCUCAUGGCGCUGGUUGAACUCCGGUACGUUUACCGUUCGAAGCGCAUACAAUUUCCUUAUGUUUGAUGGAGUCAAUGCUUCAAAAACUGUUUUCCUCUGGCGUCUUAAAAUCCCUCUUAGAAUCAAAUUGUUCAUUUGGCUAGCUGCACGAAACAGACUUCUCACGGCCGAAUUUCUUGCAAAGCGGGGCUGGCACGGCCCCUCAAUAUGCCCUCUCUGUUGCAGGGAGGUAGAGACACUCAACCACUUGUUCUUCCUAUGCCCUUACGCCAAGUCACUUUGGAACCGACUGCUUCGCCGACCGCUGCUGCUCCAAAUGUUGACGUCUGACUACGCUGCUGAGUUAGCCGACCGCUGGAGCAGAGCUAGAAAUCUACUCUCUGGCCAAUUCAAGGACCAUUUCGACCUCCUCUUCACGGCUUCAUGCUGGGAAUUAUGGAAUGAACGAAAUAAGAGACUAUUCGAAGAUCAACUCAAGCAGCCUACCUUCCGGAGCCAAAACAUUCUCUGCACGGUGCGAUCAUGGAAAGCCGCACUCGGGGACAUGGACAGCAUCUAGGAGUGUGCGCUUUUUGGGGUUUUUUGGGGCUUUGAUUUUGAUUUUUGGUUUUUUUGGUUUCUGGGUUCCUGCUCCUAGAUCUUGAUUGCGAUCAACCCAUGCUGUUCUUGCCGUUCUGUUUUUUCGCCUUACUAGACUGCUCCUAUACUCUCAGUUCUGACUUUGUUAAAAUAGGGUAUACCCCUGUUUAAUCAAAAAAUAUUAUAAAAUAUUUUUUUUUCUUUAAAAACUUAAAAACUACCCUAUAACAGUAUUUUUAAUAUUAAUAUUCAACAAUAUCAAUUAUCUAUUUGCUCUAAAAAUUCAUAUAUCUCAAAAAGGCCAAGAUAAUUGGAUAACUUAUUAUAUUUGAAUUUAAAUUGGAUAAAGAAAAUAGUAGAAUACAUAAGUGAUUUUAAUGGUUUUAUUUGCAGGAGAAGAAAAUUACUUUGCAGGCGAAACUGCAACAGUUUUUUUUUUUUUUUUUUUUUUUUUGGCCGAACAUUUCAUAUAAUCGGAUAUAAUUAAUAUAACACUAUAUAUAUAACGAGCAAUGAUUGGACUGGUAUUAGAAAAGUACCCACUAAAACAAAUUUACUAAAUACAAAGUCAUAAAAUACAAACUUGCAGAAGAAUAAACGUUAUGACCGUUCAAACAUCAACACAUUUUCUAAUUUCUUUUAUGGUCAUUGUAUUGAUUGCCAUUUCUUCUUUUUUUUUUUGUUUUUUCUUGAGACGAAUGUAAGCAGUGCAGUAUUCCAAAACAUAAGGCUACGGGAGUUCCGAAAUGCAUCUGAUGAAGUCUAGAUCAUCAUCGUCCAUGGGAUCCCACCAGUGGAAGUCCAGACAUUUUACAUAUGUUAAGCGCUCCACGAGAAAUCGUGGAACAGAUGGUCGAGCAGGGUCAUAGGAAUUUGCCAAGUGCACAAUCUUGAGACUUGGAAAUGCGCCACGUGGGAGAGAAGACAGCAGCAGCUCACUAUUAGCGCACAAAUACAGCUGCUCGACGGACGGAAAAGACGAGGGCAGUUCUUUCAAUUUUGGGCAGUCUAGCAGCAUCAACUCGGACAGACGAGGAAAUGAUCGUUGUUGUGCAGCUGACGCUGCACACCACUCCUCCAACUCGGGCAUGUGUUCAAGUCUCAACUUCUCCAAUACUGGGAAUGCACCAUCACCUGUACCGUAGAACUCUGAGCCCAGGCUCUUGACUGCUAGGAGAGCAACGAGAUGCAGGACUUUAAGAGCAGGCAACUGCCCGAGCGGUGGAAGAGACUUGACGGCAGGAAGCUUCUCGAGAUAAAGGAUCUCAAGGUUAUGCAACUGACUUAUUCUUGGGAGGGUCUCACAUCUGAAACAAGAAAAUACGUAAAGAUGAACAAGAUUUGGAAGACUUGACUCCAACCAUUUCGGAAAAAUUUUGCCUGGGUAGCGAAAUAUCCUCAAUAUGGUCAAAUUUUCAUGCGGUUUGAGGCCGUCAAGGACUUCUUCGGCUACCGUAAGUGCAUUGAUCAAACCUUGCCUGCUUCUUCCUUCGACGUCAGUGUGCAUGCAUGCUUCCAUAUGCUUCUUGUAAGUACCUAGCUCCCAUGUUAAUGAUAGUAUAUUAAGGCCAUCCAUUUCUAUUAAGUUAGCCUCUCGAGCCUGCUGGAAAUUCUUCACAUUUUCCAGGCCAGUAAUCAAUAGGAUGCCUUGAUGAUUAAGUCUGCUGAGCUCCUUGAGGCCGCACUCGCUUUUUUCACAAAGAUCAAAGAGCAGUAGUUCUCGAAAGUAGCUUGGCUGUGUAAGUCCAGCGGGCAUGCGCGUUAAUUUAUGGCAAUGACCUGUGUGAAAACAUGUGAGGCCUUCCGCGUUCUCCUUGUUCUCCGGCAACUCGCGUACAAAGAAACAGCCUGUUAGAUUAAUUGAUCGAAGAUUUGAGAGGCAACGUACGCUUUCAGGCAGCUUUUUUAUUCUAGUAUAUGCGAGGUUUAAGGUUUGCAAACUCUUUAAAUGACCAAUGGAAGCUGGUAGGGAAAUAAAGCUUGUGCAGUAUUCAAGAUUCAGUGUUAGUAUAUUGGAGAGAUUACCAAUGGAGUCUGGUAAUUCUUUUAAAAAUCGACAUCCUUGCAGGCUCAAAACUUGUAGAUUAUGUAGGAAACCAAUAGAUUGUGGCAGUGUUUCAAGGUUUGUGCUUGACAAAUUGAGAUACCUUAGGUGUCUAAGGUUACUAAUUGAAUUGGGCAAUUCUUUGAUGGGGUAGUAUUUAAGAUAAAGUGCUCUUAGAAGCUUCAUACUAGAGAAAACAGUUUGAAGAAUCUUCUGCAUCAUAUCUGCCCUUCCUAUCUGCACAAAAGGAUGUGAUUUGAGGAAGUAUAAGGUUCUCAACUUUUUGGCUUUAUUGAGGAUCUCUAAAACCGAUGGUAUUAUCUCUAUUGAGUAGAUAAAUGAUGAAUAGCGUGUUACAGGAUAUAUGUCUCUCUUAUUGACAGCUUUGACGAUGCUUGAACAUUCUUCACCUGAAACAAAUUGAGCGAGAUUAUGAACAAGAUCAUGUAUAACGACGGCACCUAUCAUAUGCCUAGGUUCCUCGAAAAGUGAUUUCGAUAAUAGCUCUUCGAUGUAUUGGUAACCCACGUCUUCCAAUUCAACACUCUCGGUGAGUGACCGAACAAAUCCUUCAGCAAUCCAAAGUUGGAUCAAGUCCUUAGCUAUUAUAACUGUAUCCUUUGGAAAUAUGGAGCAAUACGCAAAGCAUUGCUUCAAGUGCGACGGCAAAUGAUUAUAACUCAACCUUAGAGCUGGUAAAAUCCCAUUCUCUUCUAACUUCCAACUUUCAUUAUCCCGAACAGCCAGCCACUCACUUUCCCUUCUCUUAGAGCGCAUCAAGCUACCUAAAACCUUCGCUGCCAGUGGGACACCGCCACAUUUUUUCACAAUCUCCUUUCCAAUGGUAACUAAGUUUGCGGUCUUCACAGAAGCACCUAUCCCAAAUGCUCUUCUCUCAAACAACAACCAACAAUCAUCCUCGGAUAAAGUCUUCAAAAAGUGUGGGUCUACCGUGGCCAUUAGUGAGGCAAUUUUGACACUACGGGUGGUCACUAUAACUUUACUUGCAGUGGCACCAAUAGUUAACAAAGUCCUAAAUAUGUCCCAUUUCUCGUAAUUUUCAUUCCAUACAUCAUCCAGCACGAGCAAAAAUCUCUUUUUCUCAAGCUCCUGUUUUAGCUUAGACUGCAUCGCUGCCAUGCUUGUGAGAUCACACGCUUUUCCCGUUGUAUGCUCGAUUAUUGAUCUAACAAGCCUUUUAUGGUCAAAAUCAUCCGAAACACACACCCAUAUUCUCUUCUCAAAGUGAUCGCUUAUUUGUUGAUCAUUGUAAACUAUUUGUGCGAGUGUCGUCUUACCGAGCCCUCCCAUCCCAACAAUUGCUAUGAUCCCGAGAUCACCUCCAGAUGUGUCCACAAGAAAUUUGAUGAUCUUUUUCUUAUCUUCAUCCCUACCGUAAAAUUCCGAUUCAAUUACGAAAGAGCUAGUUUCUUCUCUCCCCACAUUCUCUUGCCUACAGCAUGUUACUACAGAUCUCUCUUGCAAAUGAAACUUAGAUCUCUCCUCUGCAAGCUCAUCUAGUCUCUCCCUAAUCUCUCUAAUCUCCCUACCAAUCUUUAACUGAGAAAUAAUUGAGCUAGGUAAUGAUAACAGGUUACUCACCGUUCCCAUCAUCCAGCUAGUAGUACUGCUUUCCGGAUCGGUUAAACUCCUCUUCCGGUUCUUGGCCAAGUCCUCGUCCAGCAGAUCGUCAAUAUCGUAGGCCACAUCUUUGAGGCGUCGUAGCCACCCUCUGAGAGCUCUCUCCUGCACUUGCCUCCCCUCCGCAUCCUCGAGCACGUCGCGGAUGGCGGAGAGGGUGCCCGCCAGCUUCUUCAGCUCAGUGCCGACGUCCAUUAGCUGACCAAACUCGUUUGUGAUUCGGUCCCUCAGUCUGUCCAGCAGUGAGUUCAGGACGUCCGAAGCCACUACGUCUGCCAUUUUCUCUUUGAUGAUUCUUUUCUUUUCGUAUCAAUCGAUCAAUUAAAAUGUACCUGUUUUAGUGUAAUAUAUAAAACUACAAUAGUCAAAUUGAAUGACAUUAAGAUGCAUAAAUAUCUGCCGAAUGAAUGAACGUACACGGUAGAAGAACAGGACUAAACAAAAGGAACAGAGGAGACGAAUUUUGUGCUGUGAAAAAGACUUUGACUUGUGGAUCCUAGCAUGUCCGUGGGUGAUUGGCCUGAGAAAAUAAAAAGUCAUACAUAAUUAAAGAAGAAAAAUGGAAGGCGCAACAUCAUCAUUCUUGCAAGAAAAAUAAAAGGGAGGGCAAAGGUCAUUCUCAGGUUGACCAAAUCAACCGGCGUACUCUUUCUGCAAUAUUUUGAUGAUGACUUUCUUUAAUACUAUGGGCCUGUGUGGCCUAGUUUCUGAAAAAGUGAUUUCUGAAAAAGUGAUUUUGGUUUGAAGAAGUGAUUUUGGUUAAAAGCUGUAGAGUGUUUGGCUGAAUUUAGAUAAAAGUGUUUUUUCUGAAGUGAUUUUGAAAAGCUGUUUGGCAAUAUUUUUUUUGAUAUUUGCAUAAAUUAAUAUUUUUGUUAAAUUUUAUUUUAAAAUAAUAUAAAAUCUAAAUUUAAAUUUGAAUAAAAUUAAAAUUUUUAAAUUUCAAAAUAAUUUAAAAUUUUAAAAUUUUAAAAUUUAAAAUAUGAUAUUUUAAUUUAAAAAAUAAUUUAAAAUUUUAAAAUUUUAAAAUUUAAAAUAAUUAUAAAAUUUAAAAUUUAAAAAUAUAUAUUUAAAUUUAAAUUUUUAAAUUUUUAAAAUUUAAAAUUUAAAUAUUUAAAAUUUAAAAUUUAAAAUUUGAAUAUUUAAAAUUUGAAUAUUUAAAACUUAAAUUUUAAAAUUUAAAAUUUAAAAUUUUAAAAAUUUGAUAUUUAUAAUUUAAAGAUUAAAAAUUAUAAUUUGAAAUUUGAAAUUUGAAUUUAAAUUUGAAGUUUUAAUCCAAAAUCAGAAUCAGAUUUCAAGAGGCAGCUUUUUUCUGGUUCUAAUUUUGGAGCUUUCAAAAUCAGUUUUCUUAUUCUAAAAAGCAGAAUUAGAUUUUAAAAGUGAGUUGUAAACGCUCUAUUAAGCAGCAAAUCACUUUUCAGCCCAAAGGCGCUUUUUAAAAGCUAGGCCAAACACCCCUAUAUUUGGCUGGAAAGCUAAAUUUUAGAAAAUAAUAAGGAAUAUUUUCUCACCAUCCUUCAAAAUAAGUCUAAUAUCAUAAAUACUCCUAUAAAAAUUAAAAUAUCAUAAAUAAUCUUCCAAAAGAGAGAGGAUCUGUCAAAAAAUAAUUUUCACACUAACUUACCGUCAAUUUUGAGUAAAUGGCAAAUAAAAUAUAUUAUAUAAAAAUUUAAAUUUGUGCAUUGAAAAUUUCAAAUGAUAUGUUUUGAAAUUUGAUAAAGAAAAUAGCUGCUUUCAGGUUCGGAUUUUCAUGUUUGGUUUCAGAUUUUGAUUUUUUAUCGGGAUUUGAAUUUGUAAAACCAGUCCCGACCAUUGGCAUCCCUAAUACCACCAGGUCCACCACUCCUGCCCCGUUGUUUGGUACUUAGAAAAAAGAGAUUUAUUAAUUCAAAACUUAAAAAAAUAUAUAAAUAAUUUAAAUAAAAGAGAUCUUCUAUAUAUAUAUUUUUUAAUACUAUCAAAAUUAAUAGUGCGUGCAUUGACUAAUUUUAUUCAAUUUAUAUAAUUCUAUGGCCUUUUUUAUAAGCAAUUUAUUCUGUAAACUUAUUUUUUAAAAGUUUUACAGCCGAAUUUUCAGCUAAAUUCAAUAAUAAUUCUAAUAGUAGGAUCCAUUAAAGAUAAUUAUGAUAAGGUGCAGCGGACAAUUAAUAUAAUUUUUGAUGCAGAGGGUAAAUGAGACAAGACGUAAAAUGCAAUGGACCUUUUUGUUAUUUAGCCAAUUACUUUAGUGUGAAUUAAGCGACUGGUUUUAUUUUUCAAUUUCCAAUAAAUUACUUUAGUUAGAUAUUGCACAUGCCUUCACUGAACUCACUGAGAAGGUGAACUAGUGCACGGCCUGUUUGGAUUAGGGGUGGCAAACCAGUUCGCUAUUCGCGAGCCGGCUCGUGUUCAGCUCGAAAUAAACUCAAGAUCGAGUCAAUCGUUUAGUAAACAAGCCGAACACGAGCUGAAUUUUUCAACUCGUUUAAUAAACAAGCUGAAUACGAGCUGGGGUCAGCUCGUUCAUGUUCGGCUCGAUAACCGCUCAAAUACAUAUAUUUUAUAUUUAUAUAAUUUAUAUUAUAUAAAUAAAUAAAUAAUUAUAUAUAUAAUAUAAAUUUUUAUUAUUUAAUUUUUAAUCCAACCUAAAUAUAAACUCCAACUUAAUUAUAAAAAUGCCCAUGUAUAUGUAAAGUUUCAACCAUUAGAUCAAAGCUUGAUGAAUACGAUCUCAUAAAUUUAUUUUUUAUAUAUAUAAUUUUUAAUCCUUUUAACUUAUUGUUGGUGAGCCAGGUCAUGUUCUGCUCAUUUAGCUCAUGCGAACACGAGCCGGCCCAGCUCGCUCGUAUUCGGCUAGUUGACACUCCUAGUUUGGAUGAAGAGUAUAAUUUAAUGCCUACAGUGACAUGCAUACUGUUCAUUUCUCAGAAAUUAGAAAUCUUGUAUAUAGAAUACAACAUCCUAAAUAAAAAAAAUCAUAACUAUUAGCAUUUUGAAAGAACCUCAAGGAUUUUUGUUUUUUUACAUUGCAGUUACCAAAAAAAAAAAAAAUCUGGAUAGCGCGUAAGUUAUUACUGACAAUUUAUUCAAAUAGUCAAAUAAGGAAUUACAUACACGAUAGUUUCCUCCCAUGAACAAGAGAUAGAAUAAGUCACAUAAAAUCUUAAUUCACAUUUACUCGAAUAUCAAUUACCUAUUUUCAUAAAUAAAAAUUUUCAUAUAUCUCAAUAAGGCCCCCAAAAAAACAUGGAAUUAUUAUUAAAUUUAAAUUCAAAUUGGAAUAAGAAGUAGUGGAAUACAGAAUUGGAUUUUUUUUUUUUUUAUUUUUUUUUUUUGAAAGGAAGGUAUAAGCGCAAAUGCAAAAAAUAUUAACAAGUGACAACAAAUAGGUUCAGCAUUUGAAAUACAAAAUAGGGUGACGAAGAGAAAGAAGUAAAGAAGGAAAAAAAAAAUAGAAAUAAGCUAUUAACUAUUUACGGAGGCUCGCUUUUUUUAGGAUUUUCUUGUUAAAUUAAAUUUGAUGGUUUUACUUGCGCAAGAAGAAAAUUGAGAUACGGGCCAAACUACAAGAGAGUUUUCUUAUAUAAUUGCGCAUAAUUAAGAGACCACAAUCCAUGCAAUUACUUGUAUGUAAUAUUUAACUUCGAAGAUGAUCAGCAGUUGCACUGGUAUGUCAAAAGCACUUCAAUAAAUUUACUAAACACAAAAUUCGUCUCACAUAUAAACUUGCAAAGAACAAACAUAAGAAUGGACAUUAAGACCCGCAAACAUCAACACUUGAUUUUCUUAAUUUUUUUAAGUGCCAGUGUAUUGAUUGCAAUACCUUUCUUCAUUUUUUUGCUUGUUGAGACGAAUAUUAGUGCAAUAUUCCCAAAACAAAAUUGCUACGGGAGCCCCGCAACACUUCUGAUGAAGUUUAAAUCAUCAGCAUCCAUGGGAUUGCUCCAGUCGAUGCCCCGACAUUCUUGGAAUGUUAAGCGCUCGGCGAGAACUCGCGGAACAGGCGAUUGAGUCUCAUCGAAAUUUUCUAAGUACACAUUCUUGAGAUUUGGAAAUGCGCCAGUUGGGAUAGAAGAUAGCAGCAGCUCAUUGUUAGCACACAAAUGCAGCACUUGGACGGAUGGAAAAGAUGAGGGCAGUACUUUCAGUUUUGGACAGUCUUCUAGGCUCAACCAGUACAAACGAGGAAACGAUUGUUGCCCUGACACUUCACACCAUUCCUCCAACCCAGUCAUGUAUUCUAGUUCCAAGCACCCCAAUUCUGGGAAUGCACAAUCACCGGUACCAUAGAACUCUAAGCCCAGGCUCUUGACUGCAGAGAGAGAUCUGAUAUAUAGGUAGAUAAGAGAAGGCAACUGCCCGAGCGACGGAAGACGCUCGACAGCAGGAAGCAUGCAGAGAUGAAGGAACUUAAGGUUACGCAAUUGACUUAUUUCUGGGAGGAUCUUGCAUCUGAAACAAGAGUUCAAUUGAAGAUGAACAAGAUUUGGAAGGCUCAACUCCAACCAUUUUGGAAAAAUUUUGCCCGGGUAAUGAAAUAUCUCCAAUUGGAUCAAAUUUUCGUGUGGUUGCAGGACCUCGAGAACUUUCUCGGCUUGUGCAAGUGCUUUGAUUACAUCUUGCCUACUUUUUCCUUGUUGGUCGGUGUGCACGCAGGCUUUCAUUUGCUUCUUGUAAGUAUCCAGGUCCCAUGACAACGUUAGUGACUUAAGACCAUCCUUUUCUAUUAAGUUAGCCUCCCUAGCCUGUUGGAAACGCUUCACAUUUUCCAGCUUACUAAUACGCAGUUCCCCUUCAAGAUUAAGCCCGUUGAGCUCCCUGAGGCCACACUCGCUCUUUUCACUAAGCACAAAGAGCGGUAGUUCUCGAAGGCGGCUUAGCCGUCCUAUUCCAGAUGGCAUGCCUGUUAAUUUAUAACAAUUACCUGUGUGAAGAUUUGUGAGGCUUGUCAUGUCUUUCGUGUUCUCCGGGAGCUCGAGUAGAGAGCUACAGCCUUGUAGAUUAAUUGAUCGAAGACCUGAGAGGCAGCAUAAGCUUUCAGGCAACUUCUCUAUUUCGGUAUAUCCGAGGUUUAAGGUCUGCAAACUCUUUAAAUGACCAAUGGAAGUUGGUAGGGAAACAAAUCUCACACAACUCUCGAGGUUCAAUGUUAACAGGUCGGAGAGGUUACCAACGGAGUGUGGCAAUUCUUUUAAAAAUCGACAUCCUUGCAGGUUCAAAAAAUGUAGAUUCUGCAAGAAACCAAUAGAUUGUGGCAGUGUUUCAAGGUCUGUGUAUGACAAAUUGAGAUACCUUAGGUGUCUAAGAUUACUAAUUGAAAUUGGUAAUACUUUGAUCGGGUAGCGGCUGAGAUGAAGUGCUCUUAGAAGCUUCAUACUAGAGAAAACAAUUUGAAGAAUCUUCAGCAUCAUAUCUUCCUCUUCUAUCUGCACAUCAGGAUGUGACCUAAGGAAGUAAAAGGUUCUCAACUUUUUAGCUUUAUUGAGGAUCUCCAAAGUCGAUGGUGUUGCCUCUUUUGUGUAGAUAAAUGAUGAAUAACGUGUCAUAGGAUGAAUGUCUCUUCUAUUACCAGUUAUGUCGAUGCUUGAACAUUCUUCACCUGAAGUAGAUUGGGCGAGAUCAUGAACUAGGUCAUGAAUUUUGAUAUUGUUUGACCAUAUGGUACUUCUCUCGGAAAGUGAUCUUGCUAAUAGCUCUCGCAAAUACUGGAAACCCACCUCUUCCAAUUUCACGCUCUUAUUAGAUGACUGAAUGAAACCUUCAGCAAUCCAAAGUUCUACCAGAGUCGCAUCUUCUACAAUAGUAUCCUUUGGAAAAAUGGAGCAAUACGCAAAGCAUCGCUUCAAGUGUGAGGGCAAAUGCUUGUAACUCAACCUUAGGGCUGGUAAAAUAUCAUUCUCUUCUGACUUCCAACUAUCAUUGUCUCGGACAGCCAGCCAUUCACUUUCCGUUCUCUUAGAACGCAUCAAGCUACCCAAAACCUUUGCUGCCAGCGGGACACCGCCACAUUUUCUCACAACUUCCUUUCCAAUGGUAACCAAGUUUGGCGUCUUCUCGCAAGCACCUAUCCCAAAUGCUCUUCUCUCAAACAACAACCAACAAUCAUCAUCGGAUAAAGUCUUCAAAAAGUGUGGCUCCACCGUGGUUAGUAUUGAGGCAACUCCACUACUACGGGUGGUCACUAUAAUUUUACUUCCCGUGGCACCAAUAGUUAGCAAAGUCCUAAAUUUGUCCCAUUUCUCAUAACUUUCACUCCAUACAUCAUCCAGCACGAGCAAAAAUCUCUUUUUCUCAAGCUCUUGUCUUAGUUUAGACCCCAUCGACGCCAUGCUUGUGAGAUCGCAAGCAUUUCCCGUUAUAUGCUCUAUUAUUGAUCUGACAAGUCUUUUAGGAUCAAAAUCAUUAGAAACACAUACCCAUAUUUUCUUCUCAAAGUGGUUGCUUAUUUGUUGAUCAUUAUAGACUAAUUGCGCGAGCGUCGUCUUACCGACCCCUCCCAUCCCAACAAUUGCUAUAACCCCGAGAUCACCUCCAGACGUGUCCACAAGAUAUUCAAUGAUCUCUUUCUUAUCUUCUUCCCUACCAAAAACUUCCGAUUCAAGUACGAAAGAGCUAGUUUCUUCUCUCACCCCGUACUCUUGCCUACAGCACGUUAAUACAAAUCUCUCUCGCAAAUGAAACUUAGAUCUCUCCUCCGCAAGCUCAUCUAGUCUCUCCCUAAUCUCUCUAAUCUCCCUAGCUAUCUUUAACUGAGUAAUAAUUGAGCUAGGCAAUGAUAGCACUUUACUUACCGUUCGGUUCAUCCAGCUACUAGUACCGCUUUCCGGAUCAGUUAAACUCCUCUUCCGGUUCUUGGCCAAGUCCUCGUCCAGCAGAUCGUCGAUAUCGUAGGCCACAUCUUUGAGGCGUCGCAGCCACCCUCUGAGAGCUCUCUCCUGCACUUGCCUCCCCUCCGCAUCCUCGAGCACGUCGCGGAUGACGGAGAGGGUGCCCGCCAGCUUCUUCAGCUCGGCGCCGACGUCCAUCAGCUGACCAAACUCGUUUGUGAUUCGGUCCCUCAGUCUGUCCAGCAGCGAGUUCAGGACGUCCGAAGCCACUACGUCUGCCAUUUUCUCUUUGAUGAUUCUAUUCUUUUCGUAUCAAUCAAUCAAUUAAAAAUUAUCUGUUUCAAUGUAAUAUAUAAAACUGCAAUAGUCAAAUCGAAUGAAAUUAAAGACGAUUAAAUAUCUGACGAAUGAAGGAACGUCCGCGGUAGAAGAACAGGACUAAACGAAAGGAGCAGAGGAGACCAAUUUUUUGCAGUGAAAAUGACUUUGACUUGAGGAUCCUUGCAUGUUGGUGGGUGAUUGGCCUGAGAAUAUAAAAAGUCGGAAAUGGAAGGCGAAACAUCAUCACUCUCACAAGAAAAAUAAAAGGGAAGCCAAAGGUCAUUCUGAGGUUGACCUGAUCUGCCUGCGUACUCUUUCUGCAAUGUUUUGAUUAGGACUUUCUCUAAGACGUGUGGUUCCAAAAAAAAAAGUUUAGAAAAUAACUCUUGUCAUUUCAAAAAUAACAGAUAUUCAGUUAGGACAACAAUAAAAUUGUAUUUGUAUGCACUCCGAUGAGGGUAAAAAUGCCCCACCUCAACUAAGGAACAUUUCAGCAUUGACCUCUUGACUCCAAACUUUUUUUUUUGUUUGACACACUCUUUUGACUUCUAAUAUUUUUUUAAAAAACUUUGUAGUUCGUUAAAUUUAAAAUCUUCAUUAAAUAGUUCAAUUAACUAUGGCGAUUAAUUAAUUUAAUUUUACUUGCUAUUAGAUGAUCAAACUUAUUAAAUUUAAUAAACUAUUAGUAAAGUUAUUAAACUUUCUAAUUUGUUUGAUUAAAAUGAGCAAUACUUUAAUACUCCGUUUUAACGUUAGUUGCUUAUUUAGGGCUAAAAUUUAUGUGUCAAAAAAGAUGACUUGCUAUUCCACAACCAGUACUGUUCACCAAGUAUGUGAAACUAGAGGGUUUUAGAAAAAAAAAAGAGCCAAUAUUGAAAAGUUUUGCAUACUAUAGCUUUGAAUUGUGGAGAGAAUAAAUUUUUUAUUGAAUUAUCGAUUUUGAAAGUCGAUUUUAAUAACAAUUUGUGAUGACGUUGGGUCAUAAGUUUUAGUGAUUUAUAAUUUAAAGUUAAUUUUCAAACACAAAAACUUUAUGUUUAAAUAGUUAAUAAAAUUUAUUUUUUUAACUAUAAUAUAAAUUAAAUCUAAAUUUAAAAUUUAAAUUUGAUUAAUAUUUUUGAACUUUAAUGCCGUUUUUCAAUAUUGAAUUAACAAUUUGAAUUUACUUUAAAACAUAGAAACCUUUUAUUUAAAUAAAUAAUAAAAGUUGGGUUUGUAGGUAUAAUAUAACUUAAAUUACAAUUUAAAAUAAAUUAAUAUUGUUGAACUUUGAUGUUAUUUUAAUAUUGAAUUGACAAUUUAUAUUGAAAUGUAUUACUCAUUUAAACAUAAUUUUUGGCUUUUUCAAAUUUUAUUUAAAUUUAAAUUUUAUUUUGAUUUUAAUCUACACAAUUAUAAAUAUAAAGUUUAAAUCAAGUUAAAUUUUAAAUUUGAAUUUAUAAAGAUUUCUCACUUAUCAAAUUAGCCAUAACUAAUUUGGUAAAUAACAAAAUUAAAUUAGGAAACGAAAAUUUGGUGGAUAUUAUCAAAUUUGGUUAUUGGCUAGUGUAUAUUUUUCAAUAUUGCUUUUUACGAUUGAUUUUGAUUGGUAACUAGCUUGUUGAGUAGGUUACUGUUAUAUAAAAGUCAAUCUUAACCUUAAAAGACAAACAGCAGAUUUAAUUUGACCAGUGUAUUAAAGCAUUUUUUUUAUUAAAUUACUUGAUUUGAAAAAAAAAAAAAAAUUUAAAGGGUUAUUAAUUUUUUAAAAAAAAUGAAGGGCAAUUCCACAAUGGCCUAUAGUAGAGUGCAAAGGGUCUCCAAACAUUCUAUUGGAUUUUUAGAAUUAGUUUUUUUUUUUUUUUUAAGAAGACAACAGAGAUAAGGUAUUAACUAUUUAUGAAGUUGAAUUUGAUGGCUUUCCUUGCGCAAGAAGAAAAUUGAGAUACGAGCCAAACUGCAAGAGAGUUUUUCUUAAUUGCGCAUAAUUAAGAGACCACAAUUCAUGUAAUUAAUUGUAUACAAUAUUUAACAUCGAAGAUAACAAGCAAUAGUUGUAUUGGUAAUUCAAAAGCACUAUAAUGAAUUUACUAAAUAUGGAAGUCGUUACAAACAAACUUGCAAAGAACAGACGUAAGAAUAGACAUUAAAACCUGCAAACAUCAACACAUUUCCUUAUUUUUUAUGGCUAGUAUAUUGAUUGCAAUACCCUUCUUUUUUUUUUUUUGGGUUGUUGAGACGAAGAAUAAUAGUGCAAUAUUCUCAAAACAAAGUGCUACGGGAGUUCCGCAGCACUUCUGAUGAAGUCUAAAUCAGCAUCGUCUGCGGGAUUUGUCCGGACAAAGCCCCGACAUUCUUGGAAUGUUAAGCGCUCAGCAAGAACUUGCGGAACAGGUGGUUGAGUCUCGUCGAAUUUUUUUUUUUGAUUAAACAGGGGUAUACCCUAUUUGAGAAGAAGAGGUACAGAGUCGAGAAAGGCAAAAGAGGAAGAACCCAAAACUGGAUAAAGAGGGACCAGAAAAGCUAAAUAAGACCAAGCAAAUCUCUACAGAGCUAGAAAAGCUAAAUAAGACCAAGCAAAUCUCUACAGAGCUAGAAGUCCGCACCCCGGUUUGCAGCGAGUGAUCCGCAGCAACACAGUUACCAGAGCAGCCGCGGUAGUAGGAAGGAUCUACGUCCCUAGCGCCUUUUGUCGCGGUAGACACGGCAGUAGUAGUAUCUACGUCCCCAGCUUCCCUGAAGCCUCGUUCCACAGCCGCACUGUUGCGAUAAUGUUCCGGCCCAAGGCUCUAUGAUGGCAGAGGAGAUUAUCAAACAGUCAGUCGCCUAUUCCGCUCGUUCCAAAGUUCCCAGCAGCAUGCAGAGAAGACCACAUCGAAAAGUGCCCGUUGCGGACUUGAUAGAGAAAUGCUAAUUCGGCUCCAACGAUCCCCCAGCUUCCCAGUUGAACUGGCCAAUAACUGUUGAGUCCAAGUGCCGGGUCCGAGCAGGAACAUCCAAAGAUCUCUAGCAUAGGGACAGAGGAAGAGUAGAUGUUCUAGCGUUUCAGCCUCGGAAAAACAAAGGACGCAGAUGGAGGGCCCAUGCCAACCUCGCUUGGUGAGGAAAGAAGCAGUGAGGAUUCUAUUCCUUGCCGCAAGCCACAGGAAAAGCUUGACUCUGAGAGGGAUCUUAAGCUUCCAGAGGAAAGCUAUUGUGGAGUUGUUAACGCCGUCGUAAGUCAAGAAGGCAUAAGCGCUUCGGACCGAGAACUUACCGGAUUGGGUCCAGCGCCAAGAAGGAGAGUCGUCGAUGUUGUCCGAGAGCAAGAACGAGCUGGUCAAAGUGGCGAGGUGUUGGAGCUCGAUAUGCUCUAAGAGGCCGAGGGGGGCAGGAAAUCCCGUGUUUACACAACCGGCGAAGCGACUGUACCAAACUGCGAUCGAGAGGUGCCUGUGCUUAGCCGCAGCAAAGAGAUUAGGGAAACGAUCUCUAGGGGCUAGGCCUCCACACCAGCGCGCAUUCCAGAACGACGUUGCAAUUCCAUCACCGAGUUGGAAGUCAACGGAGGUGAGAAAUGGCGCUGCAAUGGAGAGAAUAUCGCGCCAGAUGGGGCAGCAAUCUGCAAGCUUGGGCGCACCCAGGGAAGGAGCCAUGCGCUUGUAGUGUUUCUGCAAAAGAAGACGAACCCAGGGUAGACAGCGUGAGUUGUAGAAAUUCCAUAGCGUCUUCAUCAAUAAGGCGACAUUCAUGGAAUGGAGAUUAUGAAUGCCGACACCGCCAUAUCGCUUGGGGCGACACACUUCGUCCCAUUUAACAAGGCAAUGGAAGCCAUUCUGGAGUAUUUUCCCCCUCCAAAAAAAUCCCCGGCGAAUUUUAUCAAUGGCUUUAAUAACCCAAGAAGGCAAAGCAAAGGCGGAGCAGAAGAAUGUUGGAAUGCUAGUGAGCGUCAAAUUAAGCAGAACAUGACGUCCACCUCUCGAUAGCAUGGCACCCUUCCAGCCGGCAAGGCGGUUGUCCACUUUUUCAAUCAAGGGGAGGUAGUCAGCCUUACGAAGUUUCUUCGGGGAAAGCGGCAGGCCCAAGUAGGUAAAAGGGAAGCCAUGCGUGGAACACCCAAAGAUAUCUGUCAGGGCUGAGGUUUGAGCAUCAGAUAGAUUGAUAGGGAUGAUGGCGCUUUUCUGAUAGUUAAUCUUCAGGCCAGAGUAUUCGGAGAAGGCGUCGAGAAUAAGUUUAAUAGCCGCAGCGGACCUACAGGACCCGUCAAAGAACAGUAGUAGAUCAUCAGCAAAUUGUAGGGUGUGAAGCUUGGCGUCACCAAUUCCCAAGGCCGUUAGGGAAUUCGAGGUAAAGGCUAAUUGCAGCAUUACCUUGAGAUUUGGAAAUGCACCACUUUGGAUCGAAGAUAGCAGCAGCUCAUCGUCGGCACACAAAUGCAGCCGUUCGACAGAUGGAAAAGAUGAUGGCAGUACUGUCAGUUUUGGGCAAUCCAGCAGCCUCAACCUGAGCAGACGAGGAAAAGAUUGUCGCCCAGCUGGCGCGUCAUGCCACUCCUCCAACUGGGGCAUGUAAUUUAGUUCCAAGCUCUCCAAUUUUAGGAAUGCACCAUCACUUGCAGCAUAGAAUUCUGAGCCCAAACUCUUGACUGCUAGGAGAGAUUCGAGAUGCAGGAAUAUAAGAGAAGGCAGUUGUCCGAGCGGCGGAAGAGACUCGACGGCAGGAAGCUUCCUGAGAUAAAGGCACAUGAGGUUACGCAAUUGACUAAUUUUUGGGAGGGUCUUGCAUCUGAAACAAGAAUAUAACUGAAGCUGAGCAAGAUUCGGAAGACUCUGCUCCAACCAUUGCGGAAAUGUUUUGCCCCAGUAGCCCUGUAUACGCAAUUCCGUCAAAUUUUCGUGUGGUUGGAGGCCCUCGAGGACAUUCUCGGCUAGCGCAAGUGCUCUGAAUAGAUCUUGCCCGCUUCGUCCUGCAGGCUUCCAUUUCCUUUUUGUAAGUAUCCAGGGACCAUGAUAACUCUAGUGACUCAAGACCAUGCUUUUCUUUUAAGUGAGCGUUCCUUGCCUGAUGGAAAUCCUUCACAUUUUCCAACUUAUUAAUACAUAGCUCCCCUUCAAGAUUAAGUCUACUGAGCUCCGUGAGGCCACAAUCACUCUUUUCGGUAAGCACAAGGAGCGGUAGUUCUCGAAGGCGGCUUAGCCGUCCUAUUCCAGAUGGCAUGCCUGUUAAUUUAUAGCAAUUACCGGUGUGAAGAUUUGUGAGGCUUGUCAUGUCUUUCAUGUUCUCCGGGAGCUCGAGUAGAGAGCUACAGCCUUGUAGAUUAAUUGAUCGAAGAUCUGAGAGGCAGCAUAAGCUUUCGGGCAACUUCUCUAUUUCGGUAUAUCCGAGGUUUAAGGUCUGCAAACUCUUUAAAUGACCAAUGGAAGUUGGUAGGGAAACAAAUCUCACGCAACUCCCGAGGUUCAAUGUUAACAGGUCGGAGAGGUUACAAACGGAGUCUGGCAAUUCUUUUAAAAAUCGACAUCCUUGCAGGUUCAAAAAAUGUAGAUUCUGCAAGAAACCAAGAGAUUGUGGCAGUGUUUCAAGGUCUGUGUAUGACAAAUUGAGAUACCUUAGGUGUCUAAGAUUACUAACUGAAAUUGGUAAUACUUUGAUCGGGUAGCGGCUGAGAUGAAGUGCUCUUAGAAGCUUCAUACUAGAGAAAACAAUUUGAAGAAUCUUCAGCAUCAUAUCUUCCUCUUCUAUCGGCACACCAUUGCAUGAUUUAACAAAGUAAAAGGUUCUCAACAUUUUAGCUUUAUUGAGGAUUUCUAAAAUCAAUGGUAUUGCCUCUUUUUUGUCGACAAAAGAUGAAUAACGUGUCCUAGGAUAAAUGUCUCUUCUAUUAUUAGCUAUGUCGAUGCUUGAACAAUCUUCACCUGAAGUAGAUUGGGCGAGAUCGUGAACUAGGUCAUGGAUCUUGAUAUAACUUGACCCUGUGUAAUUUUUCUCAAAAAGUGAUUUUGAUAAUAGGUCUCGCAAAUAUUGGUAACCCACGUCUUCCAAUUUCACACUCUUAUCAGGUGACAGAACGAAACCUUCAGCAAUCCAAAGUUCGACCAAAGUCGCAUCGUCUAUAAUACUACCCUUCGGAAAUAUGGAGCAGUACGCAAAGCAUUGCUUCAAGUGUGAUGGCAAAUGGUUGUAACUCAACCUUAGGGCUGGAAAAAUAUCCUUCUCUUCUGACUUCCAACUACCAUUGUCUAGGACAUCCAACCACUCACUUUCUCUUCUCUUAGAACGCAUCAAGCUACCUUAAACCUUUGCUGCCAGCGGGACACCGCCACAUUUUCUCACAAUCUCCUUUCCAGUGGUAACCAAGUUUGCCGUCCUCUCACAAGCACCAUUCCCGAGUGCUAUUCUUCCAAACAACUCCCAACAAUGAUCUUCCGAUAAAGCCUUCAACAAGUGUGGCUCCACCAUGGUCAUCAAUAAGGCAAUUCUUCUAUUGCGGGUGGUCACAAUAACUUUACUUCUCGUAGCACCAAUAGUUAGCAAAGUCCUAAAUUUGUCCCAAUUCUCAUAAUUUUCAUUCCAUACGUCAUCCAGCACAAGCAAAAAUUUCUUAUUUUCAAGCUCCUGUCUUAGCUUAGACCCCAUCGACGCCAUGCUCGUGAGAUCGCAAUCAUUUCCCGUUGUGUGCUCGAUUAUUGAUCUGACAAGUCUUUUGAGGUCAAAAUCAUUGGAAACACACAGCCAUAUUUUCUUCUCAAAGUGAUCGGUUAUACGUUGAUCAUUAUAGACUAAUUGCGCGAGCGUCGUCUUACCGACCCCUCCCAUCCCAACUAUUGCUAUAACCCCGAGAUCACCUCCAGAUGUGCCCACAAGAAAUUCGAUGAUCUUUUGCGUAUCUUCCUCCCUACCGUAAACUUCCGAUUCAAUUACAAAGGGGCUACUCUCUUCUCUCACCACAUUCUGUUGCCUGUAAAAUGUUACUGCAGAUCUCUCUCGCAAAUGAAGCUUAGAUCUCUCCUCUGCAAGCUCAUCUAGUCUCUCCCCAAUCUCUCUAAUCUCCCUACCGAUAUUUUUUUAUUUUAUUUUUUUUUUUUGAGAAAUAGGUAGCUUGCUACCUGCUUCAUUCAUUAAGCAAAAUGAACUAGGCUUACAUAUUGGAGGUAGCCAGGGCCUCCGAGGCGAAACCAACAAUUACAAAGAAGAAAAGAAAAUCUAGACUACCAUAUAGCUACCCUUACAACUAAGAUACGAAAGGGCCCUAUAGCAACCCUUACAAAUAAGAUACGAGAGGGAGAAACUCCUCAGUCCGAAGAACUGGUUACCUGGCCUCAAUCCAAUCUGUGAUCAAAGAAGUGACUCGUUCAAGAACCCGGAUAGCAUUAAGGCUCCCCUCACGGAAGAUCCUGUUGUUUCGCUCUGUCCAAACCACCCACCAGAUUGCCGCCAAUCGGGUUAGACUUUUUGCUCUCAACUUGGCAUUGUGGAUGUUACCUAGAGGGUUGGAAGGCAAAACUCCUCUCUCACGGGGGUAAACUGAUCCUGGUCAACUCAGUACUUUCGAAUCUACCGCUAUUCUACUUCAGUAUAUUCAAAGCGCCGCAAUGGGUGCUGAACCGUAUAGAAGGCUUGAGAAGAGCGUUUUUCUGGAAAGGUAGUUCGAAAAUUACAGGGGGCUCAUGUCUGGUGAGUUGGAAACUAAUUUGUAGAAGCAAAAAAGAAGGGGGGCUAGGAGUCAAAGACAUGGAAGCAGCGAAUACGGCUCUACUAACCAAAUGGUGGCGGCGCUUCUUCAAAGAGCCGAAUCAGCUAUGGGGGAGGUUGAUUAAAUCUUUAUAUUAUACCAGAAGAAGGCUGUUAUAUGAGGGAAGAGCCUUCCGACUCCACUCCCAGUGGUGGAGAAGUGUGGUGAGAUGUCGAGAAGUGUUCAGAUGUGGUGUUUCGCACGUGCUCGGCAACGGGAAAAAUAUUAGGCUGUGGUCUGAUAUUUGGAUUGAAGAAACCCCUCUCAGUACUAGAUUUCCAGGUAUUCAUUCCAGCGUUGCCAACAAGGAGGCCACAGUUUCAAAAUGCUGGAAUGAUAAAGGGUGGAGAUGGCGUUUUAUAACCAGAACCCUUACUGCGAAUACAGACAGCGACGCCCGCCGGCAGAGAACUUUGCUCAAAAAUCUGAUUGCUCAGUAUAGUCCAUCGGAUGCACCAGAUCGCUUUACGAGUUCAUCACUGAUGCAGGGCAGAGAGACUCCGUCUACGUUCACCUCUGGAGGCUCAGAAUUCCGGUCAAAAUCAAAAUUUUUAUUUGGAUACUUCUCCGCAAGAGAUUGCUUACCGCAGACAGAAUUAUCCGAAGAGGGGGUCAUGUCGAUCCGUAUUGCAUUUUUUGCGCUAUGAUAGCAGAAACCAGUGAUCACCUUUUUCGGGAGUGUGUAUUCGUCAGAUACCUUCUACUUUGCACGGGAGUUGCAGACAUAAGCAGAUCGGAAGUAGGGGGUGCCAGGAGGAUAUGGGCUGAAUCUCCCUACCGAUAUUAAACUGAGAAAUAAAUGAGUCAGGCAAUGAUAACAGGUCACUUACCGUUUGCUCCAUCCAGUUAGUAGUUCUGCUGUCCCGAUCAGCUAAACUUCUCUUCCGGUUCUUGGCCAAGUCCUCGUCGAGCAGAUCGUCGAUAUCGUAGGCCACAUCUUUGAGGCGUCGCAGCCACCCUCUGAGGGCUUUCUCCUGCACUUGCCUGGCGUCUGCGUCCUCGAGCACGUCGCGGAUGGCCGAGAGGGUGCCCGCCAGCUUCUUCAGCUCGGUGGGGACAUGCGUUAGCCGACCGAACUUGUCGACCAUUCGGUUCGCCAGCCUGUCGAGCAGCGAGCUCAGGAUGCCCGGAAGCCACAACGUCGGCCAUCGUGUUGUGAUGAUUAGGUAAUUUCUUUCCCUGAUCAAUAGACAAUAACUGCUUCUCCGUGGUUUCUGUGGUGUAUUCUACAUCACUAACAGUUGACUUGACCUUGUGAGUCCCAUAUGGAUGGUACACACUAUGGACACAAAAUUUAAGUUUAAAAAUUUUAAAAAUUUAACUUGACCUCGUGAGUCCUUUUUAAAAAUUUAAGUUUAAAUAUUCAGUCAAGUCAAUGUAUUCAUUCAUCAGGACUGGAUGAGUCAAAGAUGUUGUCACGCCCGCCAUCUGACGACUGAAAAUUCCGACGAAAGUUAAAAUUUUUCUCUGGCUAGUAUAAAAAAAGAGACUCUCUACUGUGGAUAACCUACUUAAAAAGGGUUGGGCAGGUUUCAAUGAAUGUGUCAUGUGUGGUAAUGAACUGGAGACAGUUGACCACUUAUUGGAGGAGUGUGAAGUCAGCAAGUUUCUUUUUCUUGCUAAUAUAAAAAAAGAGACUCUCUACUGUGGAUAACCUACUUAAAAAGGGUUGGGCAGGUUUCAAUGAAUGUGUCAUGUGUGGUAAUGAACUGGAGACAGUUGACCAUUUAUUGGAGGAGUGUGAAGUCAGCAAGUUUCUUUUUCUUUCCCUUCUAGAAGCGCCCUGCGUCUACCCAUCAUGUGAGGAUGUCAAGUUCUUUUGGAAAGAGUUGGUAAGGAGGGGGACAAAGACGGACACUUUGAAGAGUUGGUGAGGAGGGGGUCACCUUGCGGCGGGCAUCUGGUGGACGAUUUGGUGCGAAAGAAAUAAUGUUAUUUUUCAAAACUUACACAUGAAUGCUAUUUCUACUGCUCAUCAUAUUAGAGCUCUAGUGAAAGAGUAGACCGAUUUUUGCAUAGUAGGGUGACGUUGGUUGUUAUUCUUUGUUGCUCCUUUUUUGUUAUUCUUUUAGUUUUUCUUUUUUGUGCUUUUCUCCUUUGUUUAGUCGCCUACAUGAGGCCCUAGUUGCCUCACCUUAUGUAGCUAAGUUCAUUUACCUAAUGAAUGAAACAGGUAGCGUGCCACCUCUCUCAAAAAAAAAAAAAAAAAAUGUGUGCAUUGCACGAGUCGCUAGAAUUCACGUACUUAGAAAUGCCAUUCAAAUUGAAAUUAUUUUAGACAUUUUUUUCCUUCCCUAUCAUCAAUUAAUUAAACUGCAAUUAAUACUUGGAAAAAAGAAAAAGAGGAAACAAUCCUUGAGUAAACAAGAGGGGAUAAAUUUACUUAGAGGAAUCGCACCAGCAUCCGCACACAUGUACAAGUGUCACAUACCUCCCAAAUUUAUUCAUCCAACUUAAGAGUAAUUUUAUUAUAAGAACUAUGACAUUUAACGAUUACAUUUUAACAGAAGUUAAAAAAAAAAAAAUUACACAUUUGGUUCUCAAAUUAUACGACAGAUCAUACUUUAGUCCUCAAAUUUUAAUUUAUUAUAAUUUCUAACUCGAACUUUCAAAAUUGUUUCAAUUAAAUUUCACAACUUAAUUUAGUUGACAAAAUAUUGACAAAUUUCUUAUAUAAAACUGAUAUAGCAUCUUACUGGCGUACAAUCAAUUACAAUACUACUACAUCAAUUCUACAUUAAUGAUUCAUCAAUAUUUAAUCAACCAAAUUAAAUUACAAGGCUUAACUACAAUAAUUUUAAAAUUUCGAAUCAGAAAUUAUAAUAAAUUGAAGUUUGGAAAUCAAAAUGUCUCCGGCCUUGUAGUUUGAGAACCAUAAGUGCAAUUUACACACACACACACACACACACACACAAAAGAAGCUACAAAAGAUAUAUUAUUGUAGCAAAUUUAAAGAGCUAGCUCUACUUAUAAACUGGAGCUUUAGUAGCCAUUAUGGCUUCUUUCUUGGCAGUAAAGAAGGCAAGAAGCCUUUCUCUAGCAGGUAAGAACUCCUUCACAGCAGGAUAGUUCACAUAAUCUUCAACCCAUCUGCAUAAGUUUGGGUGCUUCUCUUCAUUGAUCAAGCUUAUUCCUGCCACCUCCUGCAACACCCCACACCAGUGAGCUAUAAAACUCGCGACUAUGUCGACGAGUCCGAUCGAGUCGCCGCCGAAGAACCUCUUCCCUUUGAGCUGGUCCUCAAGAAUGUUUAGGUUUUCGGUCGACUGCGCAAUGAAGCCCUUCUGCGCCUCGCCUUGGGUCCAGCAGGACAUCCACAAUGCUAGUGUGCACUAGGCACAAAAGAAAACAUGCAUCAGAGCUUUUCAAUCUACUAGUAAGAUUGGAUUUUAAAAGAGUAUCUUGGGUAUUGAAAGAUACGUUUAAAAAUUUUGAAUAGUAGUAAAGAAUAAAUAAGCAAAAACUCUUUUUGAACAGCAGUUGGACCAAAUACGCUAACGUAGUUGUACUAACUCGAUAUAUUGAAUCGAUCUCGAAGCAUCUCUAUAAGCAAUUACCUUCUCGUCGAUGAACUUAGCCCAGAAUCGCGCCAUUGCCUUCUCGUAAGGAUCGGCAGGCAAUAUAGGAUGCCCUUCGAAAGCCUCCUCGAUGUAUUCGAGAAUAACUAGCGACUCUGCGAUCGGCUUUCCGUCGUGGAGGAGCACGGGGAUCUUCUUAUGGAUUGGAUUGUACCGGAGCAGCAACUCACUCUUGUUCGCGAGGUCCUCUUCGAAUGACUCAUAGGAAACUCCCUUUAACCGUAGCGCGAGCUCGACUCGAAAGCUAAAGGGGCUCCCCCAGGCGCGGAACACCUUAAGUUCCUUAGCCAUUUUGCGUCUUUCCUUAGCUUAUUGAACUUCGACGAUCUUGGUUUUUUGUUUGCACAAUGUAUGUGACUUUUUAUAGGACCUAUACAUGAUCUACCAUUGCUUAGAGAUUAAGGUUCUUGAGAAAGUUUCACAUUCAAUGUUAGCUAAGAAAUCUUAUUUUGGUGUUUUUUUAAUAUUUAAAGUCAAAGAAUCAGUCUACUUUAAAAUGUGAGCUCAAUGGAAUCUCUCAUCAGUGAAGGGAAACUUCAUCAAUAAGUGAUUUUUUUUUAAAUUGCUCCAAAUAAUUUGGUGGUAUUACAUUUUCUUUUUCUUUUUCGAAAAAUGUAUUAUUUCAUUGCAUAUAUAUAUAUUAAAAGCCAUGCUAGCUGUGGUAACUGGUGAGGUCCUGCUUGUGGUCAGAUUCUUUUUUUUUUUAUUCCUUUUGUUUUUUUUUAUGAAUAAUUGAAUUAGUCAACUGCAGCUUAUUUCAUCUGCGUGCGCUAAACAUUAUUGAUCAUAUAUUUAAUUGAUGAAUGUUCUCGAAUUACAAAAUUAAAGAAGUAAAAUCAGAUGUUAAAAUCCACAAAAUUGUAGAAAGUUCGUAUACUUAUUUGUAAUUACAGUAAUUUUGAAUAGUACAGUACUAAAGUUGCAGCCUAAGGAAGAGAUGACAACAGAGGAACAGCUAAGUAACAAAAUUAAAUAAAAAAUUUAAAAUUUAUAGGAUACUAACAAAUUUAGUAUACAUUACUAAUUCUUUUCCAAUAUUGUCAUGUUAACUAACCCAAAUUGGUAACCUGUUCAGUACGAUUACUUUAUGAAACUCAAGUAGAUAACUCCAUUACUAAUUAAGAGCUAGAUUUUAAUAUUU